rnacentral:lncRNA from 1 species
GCUAGGUGGGUGGACCAACACUCAUGAGGAGCACUCGCCCGGGGGUUGAUUAAAUUAUCCCCGGGUUAAUUACUCCCUAUGCAGUUCAUUAGUUAUUAGGAAAAUGUAGUACCAAAGUUGGGCCUUGCCAGACCAGCUUUAAUCUAAAACGAAUUAUCAAUGGGGUCCCCAUAACAACCCCGAUCGUGUUAGGAGCGCUCAUUUAUGGAACAUAACACCGGUAGCCGAAAACUAAGGGGGCAAAGUGUUGGGGAACGUCGCAUGGGAAACAAAAUUUUUCCUACGCGCACGAAGACCUAUCAUGGUGAUGUCCAUCUACGAGAGGGGAUGAGUGAUCUACGUACCNNNNNNNNNNNNNNNNNNNNNNNNNNNNNNNNNNNNNNNNNNNNNNNNNNNNNNNNNNNNNNNNNNNNNNNNNNNNNNNNNNNNNNNNNNNNNNNNNNNNUAAACGAGAUUGAAAUAGGUAUACGGAUACUGACGAUCGAAUCUCGGGCAAGUAACAUACCGAAGGACAAAGGGAAUGACAUACGGGAUUAUACGAAUCCUUGGCACUGAGGUUCAAACGAUAAAGAUCUUCGUAGAAUAUGUAGGAUCCAAUAUGGGCAUCCAGGUCCCGCUAUUGGAUAUUGACCGAGGAUUCUCUCGGGUCAUGUCUACAUAGUUCUCGAACCCGCAGGGUCUGCACACUUAAGGUUCGACGUUGUUUUAUGCGUAUUUGAGUUAUAUGGUUGGUUACCGAAUGUUGUUCGGAGUCCCGGAUGAGAUCACGGACGUCACGAGGGUUUCCGGAAUGGUCCGGAAACGAAGAUUGAUAUAUAGGAUGACCUCAUUUGAUUACCGGAAGGUUUUCGGAGUUACCGGGAAUGUACCGGGAAUGACGAAUGGGUUCCGGGAGUUCACCGGAGGGGGGCAACCCACUUCGGGGAAGCCCAUAGGCUUUUGGGGGACACACCAGCCCUUAGUGGGCUGGUGGGACAGCCCCAAGGGAGCCUAUGCGCCAAGAUAAGAAAAUCAAAGNUUACCGGAAGGUUUUCGGAGUUACCGGGAAUGUACCGGGAAUGACGAAUGGGUUCCGGGAGUUCACCGGAGGGGGGCAACCCACUUCGGGGAAGCCCAUAGGCUUUUGGGGGACACACCAGCCCUUAGUGGGCUGGUGGGACAGCCCCAAGGGAGCCUAUGCGCCAAGAUAAGAAAAUCAAAGGAAAAGAAAUAAAAAAGAGGGAAGAAGUGGGAAGGGAAGGGGACUCCUCCCACCAAACCAAGUCCAACUCGGUUUGGGGGGGGAGUCCUCCCCCCCUUGGCUCGGCCGACCCCUUGGGGAUCCCUUGGACCCCAAGGCAAGGUCCCCCUCCCUCCUCCUAUAUAUAUGGGGCUUUUAGGGCAGAUUUGNNNNNNNNNNNNNNNNNNNNNNNNNNNNNNNNNNNNNNNNNNNNNNNNNNNNNNNNNNNNNNNNNNNNNNNNNNNNNNNNNNNNNNNNNNNNNNNNNNNNUUUUUUUUGUCUUUUGCGGGGAGGUACUCGGCCUCUUUGGCCCCUCUAGGGUUGACCCACCGUUUUGGGUUCAUUUCACAGUUUGUUUUUGCAAAUAAUGUAGUAGACCGAAAUCACUAAUUAAAGAUCACUCUCACCUUUCAACUUCCAACUUGUUGCAACCGUGAGUUUUCUUUUUUUAUUUUGUAGAUCCUUUAUUUAAAAUAUUAUAUAUUUUAAACCAUGCGUUUAAAUCUUAAAUAUCGUUGGAUUUCUUGCAUCAAGAACUUUGAAAUUAGAUAAAUUUUAACGAAAUUUUUUCAUGAGAAAACCUGCCAAAAAACCGAACCGGAAGCAAAACUGUAUUUCUUGUGGAAGGAAAACAAAAAAAGAGAACACAUUGCGAAAACAAAACCUUGACUCUCACAAAUAAAACACGUUCUCUCACGGAAAUAUUUUUUUCCCAAAAGCUAAAGACGGGUGGAAAACAAAAAAAGAGAACACAUUGCGAAAACAAAACCUUGACUCUCACAAAUAAAACACGUUCNCCCACGACCAAUGACCCUAGGAAAAGCUCAGGAAGGAGCGAUCCUUUGUUAGUUGAUCCCUAAUAGACUUGAAGAAAAAGGAGCAACUAAGCUAAAAUGGUGCUCUAUUGUUAAAAAAGGCGAAAGGGUGUUCUUAAAAAAACUAAGUCAACAAAGGAAUGUACGCUUCCAGCCGACCGACCGAGUGCCGUGGCAGUCACGCGCGGGGCGCUUGAUCUGGUGUGGUACAAGCAUGCAACGGUUGAUCCAGAAGAAACUGAAGAAUGGACUCUACAUGUCCAACGUCGACCUUUAAACCGUCCGCAACCAUCUGGGUUGCACGGUCCGGACCAUGUAAGAUAUCUCGUGUAUUGGUCCGCUUGCUGUUUGGAUGUAUUUUUUUCCAACAAACCAAAUAAAAUAUUGGUGGCUUUGUGGGCGUCCGGACCACUGCCCAUCCACGCGCCUGACUAUCCUGGCCAACCAAUAACCCCCUCCUCGCCCGCGCGGUUCGCGCUUGAAACAGCUAGCGUUACUCCAGAACGACAAUGCCACAUUCAUACCUGACUAGAGCAGAGGUGACCUCUAACUGCCAUCAACAUUGAAGCAAGGUGUUGACUGAGCGAACGCUGCUUGUGACGCUUCUCGGUGCAGGCGACUGCUACGUUAGACACCCCAUCACCCUGCAAUAAUGAUGUGCGGUUGUCGAUGAACAUAUUCCGACGUUACCUGUCCGUUCGUCUGUCAGACACCAUUAACUACAUCGCUGUUGUCCAUUGACAUCCACACAUUAUAUANNNNNNNNNNNNNNNNNNNNNNNNNNNNNNNNNNNNNNNNNNNNNNNNNNNNNNNNNNNNNNNNNNNNNNNNNNNNNNNNNNNNNNNNNNNNNNNNNNNNGAUAAUAUUAAAUCUAUCCAAGUUUCUAUUAAUGAAAUCAAAGAGAGUACCGCUAAGUUGAAAGCUAAGCGGGAAUUCCUAGAAAAACCUCUUCCACACGGUUUUUACAGGAAUCAUGAUGAAGAUCUUAAAAUGAUUGGUACUUUGCCUAUUUAAUCAUUUUUUACUUCUCUAAAUGUUAAUGGUAAAGGGACUGGAGAUUAGUCAACUCUAGUAAAGGAGCACCCCGUUUGCUUGGGGGUGAUGAUUUUAAUGCUAAAACUAAAAAAAUGUGGGUUUGGAGAGGUCAAAACUUUAACUCGUGAUGUGCCCACUAUUUUGGUUUACAAGGACUUUAAUUAUGAUAUUUGCUCUUUAGUAGAAUGUAUUUCCUUUGUUCAAUCCAUUAUUAGCUCACGCAGUGCUUAUGAACAAAAUAGAGCUUUUACUCAACAUAUAGUGGAAUCUAUGGUGCAAGCUUAUGAUGAGAAACUUGAGCUUGAAGUUUCUAUUCAUAAAAACUUGCAUGAUGAGUGGGAACCUACUAUAAAUAUUAAUAUAAAUAAAUAUGAAUGAAAUGCUUUGUGUGACCUUGGUGCUAGUGUUUCAACUAUACCUAAAACUUUAUGUGAUGUGCUUUGUCUCACUAAUAUUGAAGAAUGUUCCCUAAACUUGCAGCUUGCCGAUUCUACCAUCAAGAAACCCUUGGGNUAUUGAAGAAUGUUCCCUAAACUUGCAGCUUGCCGAUUCUACCAUCAAGAAACCCUUGGGUAGAAUAAAGGAUGUGCUGAUAAUUGCAAAUAAAAAUUAUGUGCCUAUAGAUAUCAUUGUGCUGGAUAUUGAUUGCAACCCUACUUGUCCAAUUAUACUUGGAAGACCCUUCCUCCGAACUAUAGGUGCAAACAUUGACAUGAAAGAGGGAAAUAUAAGGUUAUAAUUUACAAUAAAGAAAGGAAUGGAAAACUUACCUAGAAAUGUAAUUAGUCCACCAUAUCAAUCAAUCAUGAGGGCCACUUGUGGGUUGGGUGUCAAAAAUGACAACACUUGAAACUAUGCAAUAUGCCUAGCAAGGGGCGUAAAACAGUGGCGCUUGUUGGGAGGCAACCCAAUAGUUAUCUUUAUCUAUUAUUUCUAUUUUCUAUUAGUUUGUGAUAACAUGAUUAUUGCCUAUGUAAUGAUUGUGUUUUUAUUUUUUAAUUACAGUUUGUGCCAAGUAAAGCCAUCGAGAUGAUUUGCAUGAUGAGUAGAAUUGAUACGGUACAAAAACAGAAACUUUGACAUCCAGUGGAGAACUUGUCUGAUUUUACUGGAACAUCUUUUUCAUCUUAAUAUUUUAUACAGUAUUUCUAUACAAACUCCUCCAAUUUUUCUAUUUGUUUUAUAAUUUUUGGAGUUACAGAAGUAUAAGUUCAUUACAUAUUACUAUAGACUGUUUUGUUCGAGUCAGAUUAUGUUUUUGCAUGCGUACUUUUCUUGUUUUGAUGAUGCUAUGGAUUGUAUCGGGGGUAUAAGACAUGGAGGAAUUAAGAUACUGUACCCUAUGUCAAAAUAAAAAAAGAAUCAAUUUGGAACAACACCUGAAAGUAUUUGAUAUGUUGCUUAUACUGACGGAUCUCACGAAGUUUUUGUUAAGUUUUAUGUGAUUGAAGUUUUCAAGUUUUGGGUAUUGUCCUGAUGGACAAAGGAUUGAGGAGCAGCAAAAGCCUAAUCUUGGGGAUUCCCAAGGCACCCAAGAUAAUAUUCUAGGAAGACUCAAGCUUCUAAGCUUGGUGAUGCCCCGGAAGGCAUCCCCUCUUUUCAUCUCAAUCCAUCGGUAUGUUACUUGAUGGGGUCAUAGUCCUAGGGUAGGGUCAUAGGCCUGCCGUACACGUCCUAUCCAAGGACUACCCCACANNNNNNNNNNNNNNNNNNNNNNNNNNNNNNNNNNNNNNNNNNNNNNNNNNNNNNNNNNNNNNNNNNNNNNNNNNNNNNNNNNNNNNNNNNNNNNNNNNNNUAAGAGCAUAUGCAAGCAUGAUCCUGACAUACAAACAUAAGGCAUGGCAAGGGAUGAUAUGUAGUGCAUGAAUGCAAGUGAAGUAAGCACUAGGGAACACACAUGAAAUCAUGGCACAAAAUAAUAACAUCACAAUCUCUGACAAGGUGGCCCCACAAGGAAGGUUACAAAAAGGGAAAGACCUACACUUGGGGCAUUACAAACUCUCCCACACUACAAAGAAGAUCUCGACCCCGAGAUCUAAGACUGAAAGAAAUCGGGAAAUUCGGAAUGGAGGUGAUCCUCGCGUUCCCACGUAGCCUCUUUAUCGGAAUGGUGUGACCACUGCACUUUGAGAAACUUGACAGACUUGUUACGGGUCUUGCGCUCAGUCGCCUCGAGAACCGCAACUGGAUGCUCGCGAUAAGAGAGGUCAGGCUGGAGAUCGAUAUCCUGAAGAUGCACAGUGCGCUCGGGGUUCUUGAAACACCUCCGAAGCUGAGAGACAUGGAACACAUCAUGGACAUUUGCAAAGGUUGACGGAAGCUCGAGCUGGUACGCGAGGUCGCCCCUCUUGCCAACCACUCUGAACGGACCAACGAAACGAGGCGCAAGCUUGCCUUUGAUGCCAAAACGCUGCAUACCCUUCAUAGGUGACACCUUGAGAUAGACAAAAUCAUCAAGCUCAUACGACAUGUCACGGUGCUUGCUAUCGUAAUAGCUCUUCUGACGGGACUGAGCUGCUCUGAGGUUGUCGCGAAUGAUCCGACACAUCUCCUCAGCUUCUUCUAUCAUAUCAUUGCCAAGGAUCUGACGCUCGCCUGUCGGGGACCAGUUGAGCGGAGUACGACACUUCCUGCCAUAGAGAAUCUCAAACGGAGCCUUGCCAGAGCUAGCUUGAUAACUGUUGUUAUACGAGAACUCCGCGAAAGGCAGACAAUCCUCCCACUUCAUGCCAAACGAGAUAACACACGCUCUCAGCAUGUCCUCAAGAACUUGAUUCACCCUCUCCACUUGACCACUAGUCUGAGGAUGGAACGAUGUGCUGAAGCGGAUCUUCGUGCCCAUAGCAGACUGAAACGAGUCCCAGAACUUGGAAGUGAAGAUACUCCCGCGAUCUGAUGAGAUCAUCAUAGGUACACCGUGGAAAGAGACAACCCUCGAGGUGUACAACUCUGCCAGCUGAGCUGCUGAAAUGGACUCCUUGACGGGAAGGAAAUGCGCCACUUUACUCAAUUUGUCGAUGACGACGAAGAUAGCGUCAUUGCCCUUCUUGGACUUCGGAAACCCUGUGACGAAGUCCAUCUCAAUGUGAUCGAACUUCCACUCGGGAAUCGGUAAAGGCUGCAAGAGGCCCACUGGUCUUUGAUGUUCUGCUUUUACCCUUCGACAUACAUCACACUCAUUGACGAAUUGUGCAAUUUCACGCUUCAUACGGGUCCACCAGAACGACUGCUUCAAGUCAUGGUACAUCUUAGAACUUCCCGGAUGAAUAGAAAGCAGAGAAUUAUGAGCUUCUUCCAUAAUCACCUUCCUGAGAUCACCUUUCGGGACGACAAGACGGUCCUCGAAAAACAACGUGUCCCUGGCAUCCACAGUGAAACACUUAUACUUGGGAAGGCUCUUUCCCACACCAAUCUUGACCUUCUUCACCAUAGUAUCAAGUAGCUGAGCUGCUCUUACCCGAUCUUCCAAGGUAGGAGAGAUCUGAAGGUUCGCAAGAAAACCCUGAGGAACCAGCUGAAGAUUGAGCUUCCUGAAAGACUCAGAAAGACCCGGCUGGAGAGGUUGCAGAAUCAGACUGUUGCAAUAUGCUUUCCUGCUCAAUGCAUCUGCCACAACAUUUGCCUUGCCUGGCGUAUACUCAACACUCGGAUUAAAAUCCUGGAGCAUUUCCACCCAACGUGUUUGCCGAAGAUUCAAGUUAGGCUGAGUGAAGAUAUACUUGAGGCUCUUGUGAUCGGUGAAAACUUCAACCUUACGUUCCAACAAGAGAUGUCUCCAAGUCAUCAAGGCGUGCACAACAGCUGCUAGCUCGAGAUCGUGCACAGGAUAGUUCUUCUCCGCAGGCUUCAGCUGCCUGGAGGUGUAAGCAACCACCUUCCUAUCUUGCAUCAAGACUGCACCAAAACCCUGAAGAGAAGCAUCGCAAAAGACCUGGUACGGCUUGGAAUCAUCCGGAGGAGCCAAUACCGGAGUGGAGGUAAGCUUCUCUUUGAGUGUAUCAAAAGCCAGUUGACACUCUGGAGACCACACAUACUUGACACCCUUUUGAAGAAGACUAGAGAGCGGCUUGGCGAUUUUGGAGAAGUUCUCAACGAAUCUUCUGCAAUAUCCGGCAAGACCGAGAAAGCUUCGAAGCUGCUUCACAUUCUGCGGAGGUUCCCAUUCAACAAUGGCCUGAACCUUGGACGGGUCAACCUUAAAGCCCUCGGCAGAGAUAAUAUGCCCAAGAUACACCACUUCUUUCAGCCAGAACUCGCACUUGGAAAACUUGGCAUACAGCUUGUAUUCUCUCAGUUUAUCAAGCACCAACCUGAGAUGUUUCUCAUGUUCUUCCUCAUCCUCAGAAAAGACCAGAAUGUCAUCGAGAUAAAGCAAGACAAACUCAUUCUUGAAUGGCGAGAAAAUAUAGUUCAUCAAUCGGCAAAAAGUCGGAGGAGCAUUAGCCAGACCAAAAGACAUGACCGUAUACUCAUAUGAGCCAAAACUGGUCCUGAAUGCCGUCUUCGGAAUGUCUUCCUCACGAAUGCGAAUCUGAUGAUAGCCCAUCCUGAGAUCAAGCUUGGAGAAUACUUUAGCACCUUUCAGCUGCUCGAACAACUCAAUUAUGUUCGGAAGUGGAUAUUUGUUCUUGAUUGUCUUCUUGUUCAAUGGGCGGUAAUCGACACACAACCGUUCCGUGCCAUCCUUCUUCUUAACAAACAGAACACCACAUCCCCACGGAGACGAGCUUGGUCUGAUCAAACCCAAACGCUCCUGCUCAUCGAGUUGUCUCUUGAGUUCCUUCAACUCUUCUGGACCCAACUUGUACGGCCGCUUGCACACUGGCUCUGUGCCUGGCUCAAGCUCAAUGACGAACUCCACUUCACGGUGCGAAGGCAUCCCUGGCAACUCCUCAAGAAACACGUCCUGAUAUUCGCAGACUACCGGAACUUGCUCAAUGGGAUUGAUCUCACCCUUUUCAUUCAAGGAGAACAAGCGGAUUGUGUCAUCGCGCGCCGCGAAUAUAAUCACAUCCUCCGAAGAGUGGGUCAGCUUCACUUCUUUAGCUGCAUAGUCAAUUGAUGCCUUAUUCAUGGCCAACCAGUCCAUACCAAGGAUCAAAUCAAUGUCGGACUUGCCCAAGACAAUAGGAGACGCCAGAAAAGCGUAAUUGUCCAUCUUGACAGAAACGUGUGGGUCGAACAACUGAGAGCUCAUCCGCAUACCGGGAGACACAACUUGCAAUGGCUUGGGAAGGAACUCGGUCGCAAAAUUAUUAUCAAAUGCAAAGGGGUAAGACAUGAAGGAAUGCGAAGCACCAGAAUCAAACAAGACUUUAGCAGGAAUACCAUUGACUGAGAGAUUACCCAUGAUCACAUCCGAUGAAUUUUCUGCCUCAACUGCAUUCACCAUGUUGACUCGAGCUGACCUGGGGUUGAACUUCACAAGAGCGUUGCUAGGAGGUUUGCCUGGAGGAGGAGGCGGCAGACGGAGCUGAGAAGUGCAUUUAUUGGCAUAGUGACCCUUCUGCCCACAUUUGUGACAAGUGACCUCUGCUGGCUGCCGGAACUGAAUCUGAGGAGGCCCUUGCUUCUGAUGCUGAUAUCUCUGCUGGAAUCCAGGGUUGGGUGGGCGGGAAGAACCACGUCCACCUGAGUGCUUCGGCUGCUGAGAGUGCCGAGGAGGAGGAGGAGAAACCCAAAACCUCUGUUGCUUCUGAACCACCUGAGUCGAAGAAGAGCUGGAAUCUCUGAAACGUUUCUUGGAGUUCUCCACCCUGAGCAAGGCUGCCUCUGCUCCGAGAGCUAAGUUAUAGAAUUUGUCAAACUCCUCAGGAUCGUGCAAAGCGAGUGCUAACUGCAAAUCCUCCUUCAAGCCACCCCUGAACUAGUAUAUCUUACUCUUCUGAUCCGGAACAUCCUGCAAUGCGUAACGGGCCAGCUCGUGGAACUCAACAUUGUACUUGUACACAGAAUUGCUGCCCUGCUUCAAGCGCCUGAACUUCUCACACAUCUCCUCAACAAAACUGGAAGGAAUGUAGUGGGACCUGAAGUCACGACAGAACUCGUCCCAAGACAUCACCCUGCCACCUCUGGAGUCCUUAAGCUGCUGCCACCAAAUAGAAGCCUGUCCCUUCAACUGGAAUGUUGCAAACUUGACAUAAUCCUCAGGACGCACAUUGCUACACUCGAAAUGCUUGUUCAUAUCACGGAUCCAGUCUUCCGCAUCAAACGGCUGGUCGCAAGAAGUGAACGUCCUAGGCUGGUUUGACAGGAACUGACUCAGACUGGCGAAGUGAUUGCCACCCUGCUGGAAAUUGCCUUGCCGAUGAUUGGCUCUCUCCUGGAUCAAUUGCAACAGCAUCUGAGUAUUUGCAUUGGUAGCUGCCAUCAUCGCCUGCCAGGCCUCUGCAGGAGGAGGAGGCGGCGGUGGCGGAGGAGGNNNNNNNNNNNNNNNNNNNGGUGGAGGCGGCAUAUCCUCACGCGCUGGGGUCUGACGAGUUGGUGGAGCCAUCCUGAAGACGGACAGCAUAUUAGUCCACAGAAUAUUUGAAGAUAAGCUAAAUCAAAAGACAGAAUAUCUGAAUAGAACUUAGCACUGCACUCGAACAACAUAGCAAGAGUGCAUUCUCAAAGUAACAGACGACAAAAUUCCGAUAAGGCCACAACAAACAAGUGUGAGCUAGUACUGCUCGGAACGAACGUAUGAUCAAGAUUUUUCCAACCUCAAUCAACCGUCUGUAGGAAGAUAGCCCUAUAAGAUACUACCAGAUAUCCCACCUAUGAAUGCCCGAAAUAACUGGUCAUGCAAUCAGGCACCCGGAUACAAGGAGUAAUUCACACAACUCCUAAACUAACCCAUCACCUGUAUCACACCCUUCAACACACGACCAGCAUCUCGGACCUUCGUCUACAACAGAUCCUCGUGAUCACAACGAUACAAAGUGUGGUAGUACCCCCGAACCAUCUACACCAGUACUGGGGACGUCGGGGUUAUCUCACCACUACCCGUAUUGAAGCAAUAACGAACACCCUCCGUUCUUAGGUACUCAGAAAUCUGAAUGAUGGCGAUGUGCGUGAUAAUCCCUGGAGCUCAACUCCCCUGAUACUUAGAGCAGAUAGGAGGCACCAGGACACGAUUCCGUCACAUCGAAAUCAUAUAGAUUUCGCAAACACCCGCGUGAUCCUAAAAAAAAAUUUGAGCAGAAAAAGGAGUAGAGUUAAAGAUUUCCUAAGACGGAAGCCUCACCAGAGCAAAGAAGAGGAGAAAAAUGAAACCUACUCUCCGAUAUAACUAAGACCCAAAAUAUUUACUAGACUCGACUCGGCCAAAUACGAUCACACAAAGGCUCCUAUGGUCGUAAGGCUCUGAUUACCAACUUGUAACGACCAAGAUGCGGUCCUUUCCGAUCUGGGGGUCGAGGCCCCCGAAUAGGAAAGAAGCGCAUCUAAGUGUUUUGCAAGCAAGUAAACAUAGCACAUAAUAAUAAAUAUAGUAGACAAUCUGGGAUUCAACUGUCUUCUUAUUAAAGAUACAGAGUACAACGCAGAUACAAACAAUGUAGUUCCGGAACGGACUACAAAACAAGGAAAAUGCUAUGCUACCCGCUGCAGCCCCACGAUCAAGACCACGGCUCAGUCCUCUGGAUAGUUCACGUAAAGGCGAUCUGUCUCCUCGUCGUACUGCCACGCCAGCCAGGUGCCGUCGGGAUCAUCUGACUCUGGGGUACCUGUACCUNNNNNNNNNNNNNNNNNNNNNNNNNNNNNNNNNNNNNNNNNNNNNNNNNNNNNNNNNNNNNNNNNNNNNNNNNNNNNNNNNNNNNNNNNNNNNNNNNNNNUGAUGAUCGGGUGUGAUAGACUCAACGUUCACAUACAACGGGUGCAAAACAGUUGCGCACGCGGAACACUCGGGUUAAGCUUGACGAGCCUAGCAUGUGCAGACAUGGCCUCGGAACACAUGAGACCGAAAGGUCGAUCAUGAAUCAUAUAGUUGAUAUGAUUAGCAUAGGGAUGCUUACCACUGAAACUACUCUCGACUCACGUGAUGAUCGGACUUGGGAUAGUGUAAGUGGAUCAUGAACCACUCAAGUGACUAGAGAGAUGUACUUUUUGAGUGGGAGUUUAGCAUAUAAUUUGAUUAAGUUGAACUCUAAUUAUCUUGAACAUAGUCUAAGUCCACUUUGAAUAUAUUUGUGUUGUAGAUCAUGGCUCACGCAAGUGUCAUCCUGAAUUUUAAUACGUUCCUAGAGAAAGCUAAGUUGAAAGAUGAUGGAAGCAACUUUGUAGACUGGGCUCGUAAUCUUAAGCUAAUCUUACAAGCUGGAAAGAAGGAUUAUGUCCUUAAUGCUGCGCUAGGAGAUGAACCACCCGCUACGGCUGAUCAGGAUGUUAAGAACGCUUGGUUAGCACGUAAGGAGGACUACUCAAUAGUUCAAUGUGCAGUCUUGUAUGGCUUAGAGCUGGGACUUCAACGUCGCUUUGAGCGUCAUGGAGCAUUUGAGAUGUUCCAGGAGUUGAAGUUUAUCUUUCAGAAGAACGCCCGGAUCGAGAGGUAUGAGACCUCCGAUAAAUUCUAUGCUUGCAAGCUGGAGGAAAACUCGUCUGUCAGUGAACAUGUGCUCAAAAUGUUUGGGUACUCAAACCGUCUAGCUGAACUGGGGAUUGAACUCCCGCAAGAAGCUAUCACUGACAGAAUCCUCCAAUCACUGCCGCCAAGCUAUAAAGGCUUUGUGUUGAACUACAACAUGCAAGGGAUGAACAAGUCUCCCGGCGAGUUGUUUGCGAUGCUGAAAGUCGCAGAGUCUGAACUCCGUAAAGAGCAUCAAGUGUUGAUGGUGAGCAAGACCACUAGUUUCAAGAGAAACGGCAAAGGCAAGAAGGGCAAUUCGAAGAAGAGCGGCAAGCCUGUUGCCAAUCCGCCGAAGAAACCCAAGGCUGGACCUAAGCCUGAAACAGAGUGCUUCUAUUGCAAGGGUAUGGGUCACUGGAAGCGCAAUUGCCCCCAAGUAUCUGGCAGAUAAGAAGGCGGGCAAAGAAAAAUCAGGUAUAUUUGAUAUACAUGUUAUUGAUGUGUACUUAACCGGCUCUCGUAGUAGUGUCUGGGUAUUCGAUACCGGUUCUGUUGCUCACAUUUGCAACUCGAAGCAGGAACUGCGGAAUAGACGAAGGCUGGCGAAAGACGAAGUGACGAUGCGCGUAGGAAACGGUUCCAAGGUUGAUGCAAUCGCCGUCGGCACCGUGUCACUUCAACUACCAUCGGGAUUAGUGAUGAACUUAAAUCAUUGUUAUUUAGUGCCUGCGUUGAGCAUGAACAUUAUAUCUGGAUCUUGUUUAUUGCGAGACGGUUACUCUUUUAAGUCUGAGAAUAAUGGUUGUUCUAUUUCUAUGAGUAACAUCUUUUAUGGUCAUGCACCGAAUGUGAGAGGAUUGUUCAUAUUGAAUCUCGAUAGCAAUACGCAUAUACAUAACAUUGAGACCAAAAGAGUUAGAGUAAACAAUGAUAGCGCCAUAUUUUUGUGGCACUGCCGCUUGGGUCAUAUUGGUGUAAAGCGCAUGAAGAAACUCCAUGCUGAUGGACUUUUGGAGUCACUUGACUUUGAUUCACUUGACACGUGCGAACCAUGCCUCAUGGGCAAGAUGACUAAAACUCCGUUCUCCGGAACAAUGGAGCGUGCAAGUGACUUGUUGGAAAUCAUACAUACCGAUGUGUGUGGUCCGAUGAGCGUGGAGGCACGCGGCGGAUAUCGUUAUUUUCUCACCUUCACUGACGAUUUCAGUAGAUAUGGUUAUGUUUACUUGAUGAAGCACAAGUCUGAAACAUUUGAAAAGUUCAAGCAAUUUCAGAGUGAAGUGGAAAAUCAUCGUAACAAGAAGAUCAAGUUCCUACGGUCUGAUCGUGGGGGUGAAUAUCUGAGUUUCGAGUUUGGUGCUCACUUAAGACAAUGUGGAAUUGUUUCGCAGUUAACACCGCCUGGAACACCACAGCGUAAUGGUGUGUCUGAACAUCGUAAUCGUACUUUGUUAGAGAUGGUGCGAUCUAUGAUGUCUCUUACUGAUUUGCCGUUAUCAUUUUGGGGUUAUGCAUUAGAAACAGCUGCAUUCACUUUAAAUAGGGCACCAUCAAAAUCCGUUGAGACGACACCAUACGAACUGUGGUAUGGCAAAAGACCAAAGUUGUCGUUUCUUAAAGUUUGGGGAUGUGAUGCUUAUGUCAAAAAGCUUCAGCCUGAAAAGCUGGAACCCAAAGCGGAAAGGUGCGUCUUCAUAGGUUACCCAAAGGAGACAGUUGGGUACACCUUCUAUCUCAAAUCCGAGGGCAAAGUGUUUGUUGCUAAAAACGGAACUUUUCUCGAGAAGGAGUUUCUCUCGAGAGAAUUGAGUGGGAGGAAGAUAGAACUUGACGAGGUUGUCGAACCUCUCAUCCCUCUGGAUGGUGGCGCAGGGCAAGGGGAAACCUCUGUCGUUGCGACGCCGGUUGAGGAGGAAGUUAAUGAUGAUGAUCAUGAAACUCCAGUUCAAGUUUCUGUUGAACCACGCAGGUCGACGAGAUCACGCGCUGCUCCAGAGUGGUACGGUAAUCCCGUCUUGUCAAUCAUGUUGUUAGACAACAAUGAACCUGCAAAUUAUGAAGAAGCAAUGGUGGGCCCAGAUUCCAACAAAUGGCUAGAAGCCAUGAAAUCCGAGAUAGGAUCCAUGUAUGAGAACAAAGUGUGGACUUUGGAGAUACUACCUGAAGGCCGCAAGGCUAUUCAGAACAAAUGGAUCUUUAAGAAGAAGACGGACGCUGACGGUAAUGUGACCGUUUAUAAAGCUCGACUUGUGGCAAGGGGUUUUUCACAAGUUCCAGGAGUUGACUACGAUGAGACCUUCUCACCCGUAGCGAUGCUUAAGUCCGUCAGAAUCAUGUUAGCAAUAGCUGCAUUUUUUGAUUAUGAAAUCUGGCAGAUGGCUGUCAAAACGGCGUUCCUUAACGGUUUCCUUAAGGAAGAGUUGUAUAUGAUGCAACCCGAAGGUUUUGUCGAUCCUAAAAAUGCUGACAAGGUGUGCAAGCUCCAGCGAUCCAUUUAUGGACUGGUGCAAGCAUCUCGGAGUUGGAGCAAGCGCUUUGAUGAGGUGAUCAAAGCAUUUGGGUUUAUACAAGUGGUUGGAGAAUCUUGUAUUUACAAGAAAGUGAGUGGGAGCUCUGUGGCGUUUCUAAUAUUAUAUGUGGAUGACAUAUUACUGAUUGGAAACAACGUAGAGCUUUUGGAGAGCAUAAAAAGUUACUUGAAUAAAAGUUUCUCUAUGAAGGACCUAGGAGAAGCUGCUUACAUUCUAGGCAUUAAGAUCUAUAGGGAUAGAUCAAAACGCCUGAUAGGACUUUCACAAAGCACAUACCUUGAUAAAGUUUUGAAGAGGUUCAAAAUGGAACAGUCCAAGAAAGGGUUCUUGCCAGUGUUACAAGGUACGAGAUUGAGUAAGACUCAGUGCCCAGCAACUGAUGAAGAUAGAGAGCAUAUGCGCUCCGUCCCCUAUGCUUCAGCCGUAGGCUCUAUCAUGUAUGCAAUGCUGUGCACUAGACCGGAUGUUAGCCUCGCCAUAAGUAUGGCAGGCAGGUUCCAGAGUAAUCCAGGAGUGGAUCACUGGACAGCGGUCAAGAAUAUCCUGAAGUACCUGAAAAGGACUAAGGAGAUGUUUCUCGUGUAUGGAGGUGACGAAGAGCUCGCCGUAAAGGGUUACGUUGAUGCAAGCUUUGACACAGAUCCGGACGACUCUAAGUCGCAAACCGGAUACGUAUUUAUUCUUAAUGGGGGUGCAGUAAGCUGGUGCAGUUCCAAGCAAAGCGUCGUAGCAGAUUCUACAUGUGAAGCAGAGUACAUGGCUGCCUUGGAGGCGGCUAAGGAGGGUGUCUGGAUGAAGCAGUUCAUGACGGAUCUUGGAGUGGUGCCAAGUGCACUGGAUCCAAUAACCUUGUUCUGUGACAACACUGGUGCCAUUGCCUUAGCAAAGGAGCCAAGGUUUCACAAGAAGACCAGACACAUCAAACGAUGCUUCAACCUCAUCCGCGACUACGUCGAGGAGGAGGACGUAAAUAUAUGCAAAGUGCACACGGAUCUGAAUGUAGCAGACCUGCUGACUAAACCUCUUCCACGGCCAAAACAUGAUCGACACCAGAACUGUAUGGGUGUUAGAUUUAUUACAAUGUAAUUCACAUGGUGAUGUGAGGGCUAGAUUAUUGACUCUAGUGCAAGUGGGAGACUGUUGGAAUUAUGCCCUAGAGGCAAUAAUAAAUAUGGUUAUUAUUAUAAUUCCAGUAUCAAGAUAAUAGUUUAUUAUCCAUGCUAUAAUUGUAUUGAAUGAAGACUCAUUUACAUGUGUGGAUACAUAGACAAAACACCGUCCCUAGCAUGCCUCUAGUUGGCUAGCCAGUUGAUCGAUGAUAGUCAGUGUCUUCUGAUUAUGAACAAGGUGUUGUUGCUUGAUAACUGGAUCACGUCAUUGGGAGAAUCACGUGAUGGACUAGACCCAAACUAAUAGACGUAGCAUGUUGAUCGUGUCAUUUUGUUGCUACUGUUUUCUGCGUGUCAAGUAUUUAUUCCUAUGACCAUGAGAUCAUAUAACUCACUGACACCGGAGGAAUGCUUUGUGUGUAUCAAACGUCGCAACGUAACUGGGUGACUAUAAAGAUGCUCUACAGGUAUCUCCGAAGGUGUUAGUUGAGUUAGUAUGGAUCAAGACUGGGAUUUGUCACUCCGUGUGACGGAGAGGUAUCUCGGGGCCCACUCGGUAAUACAACAUCACACACAAGCCUUGCAAGCAAUGUAACUUAGUGUAAGUUGCGGGAUCUUGUAUUACGGAACGAGUAAAGAGACUUGCCGNAUUCCUGUAUCAAGAUAAUAGUUUAUUAUCCAUGCUAUAAUUGUAUUGAAUGAAGACUCAUUUACAUGUGUGGAUACAUAGACAAAACACCGUCCCUAGCAUGCCUCUAGUUGGCUAGCCAGUUGAUCGAUGAUAGUCAGCGUCUUCUGAUUAUGAACAAGGUGUUGUUGCUUGAUAACUGGAUCACGUCAUUGGGAGAAUCACGUGAUGGACUAGACCCAAACUAAUAGACGUAGCAUGUUGAUCGUGUCAUUUUGUUGCUACNNNNNNNNNNNNNNNNNNNNNNNNNNNNNNNNNNNNNNNNNNNNNNNNNNNNNNNNNNNNNNNNNNNNNNNNNNNNNNNNNNNNNNNNNNNNNNNNNNNNCUAUAUUUAUUAUUGCCUCUAGGGCAUAAUUCCAACAGUCUCCCACUUGCACUAGAGUCAAUAAUCUAGCCCUCACAUCACCAUACGAAUUACAUUGUAAUAAAUCUAACACCCAUACAGUUCUGGUGUUGAUCAUGCUUUGCCUGUGGAAGAGGUUUAGUCAGCGGAUCUGCUACAUUCAGAUCCGUGUGCACUUUGCAUAUAUUUACGUCCUCCCCUUCGACGUAGUCGCAGAUGAGGUUGAAGCGUCAUUUGAUGUGUCUGGUCUUCUUAUGAAACCGUGGUUCCUUUGCUAAGGCAAUGGCACCCGUGUUGUCACACAAAAAGGUUAUUGGAUUCAGUGCGCUUGGCACCACUCCAAGAUCCGUCAUGAACUGCUUCAUCCAGACACCCUCCUUAGCCGCCUCCGAGGCAGCCAUGUACUCCGCUUCACAUGUGGAGUCAGCUACGACACUUUGCUUGAAACUGCACCAGCUUACCGCACCCCCAUUAAGAAUAAAUACGUAUCCAGUCUGCGACUUAGAGUCGUCCGGAUCUGUGUCAAAGCUUGCAUCGACGUAACCCUUUACGGCGAGCUCUUCGUCACCUCCAUACACGAGAAACAUCUCCUUAGUCCUUUUCAGGUACUUCAGGAUAUUCUUGACCGCCGUCCAGUGAUCCACUCCUGGAUUACUCUGGAACCUGCCUGCCAUACUUAUGGCCAGGCUAAUGUCCGGUCUAGUGCACAGCAUUGCAUACAUGAUAGAUCCUAUGGCUGAAGCAUAGGGGACGGUGCUCAUAUGCUCUCUAUCUUUACCAGUUGCUGGGCACUGAGUCUUACUCAAUCUCGUACCUUGUAAAACUGGCAAGAACCCUUUCUUGGACUGUUCCAUUUUGAACCUCUUCAAAACUUUAUCAAGGUAUGUGCUUUGUGAAAGUCCUAUCAGGUGUUUCGAUCUAUCCCUGUAGAUCUUAAUGCCUAGAAUGUAAGCAGCUUCUCCUAGGUCCUUCAUAGAGAAACUUCUAUUCAAGUAAUCCUUUAUGCUCUCCAAAAACUCUACGUUGUUUCCAAUCAGUAAUAUGGCAUCCACAUAUAAUAUUAGAAACGCCACAGAGUUCCCACUCACUUUCUUGUAAAUACAAGAUUCUCCAACCACUUGUAUAAACCCAAAUGCUUUGAUCACCUCAUCAAAGCGUUUAUUCCAACUCCGAGAUACUUGCACCAGUCCAUAAAUGGAUCGCUGGAGCUUGCAUACCUUGUUAGCAUUUUUAGGAUCGACAAAACCUUCGGGUUGCAUCAUAUACAACUCUUCCUUAAGGAAACCGUUAAGGAACGCCGUUUUGACAUCCAUCUGCCAGAUUUCAAAAUCGAAAAAUGCAGCUAUUGCUAACAUGAUUCUGACGGACUUAAGCAUCGCUAUGGGUGAGAAUGUCUUAUCGUAGUCAACUCCUUGAACUUGUGAAAAACCCUUUGCCACAAGUCGAGCUUUAUAAACGGUCACAUUGCCGUCAGCGUCCGUCUUCUUCUUAAAGAUCCAUUUGUUCUGAAUAGCCUUGCGGCCCUCAGGUAGUACUUCCAAAGUCCACACCUUGUUUUCAUACAUGGAUCCUAUCUCGGACUUCAUGGCCUCCAGCCAUUUGUUGGAAUCUGGGCCCACCAUUGCUUCUUCAUAAUUUGUAGGUUCAUUGUUGUCUAACAACAUGAUUGACAAAACGGGAUUACCGUACCACUCUGGAGCAGCACGUGGUCUCGUUGACCUGCGCGGUUCGACAGGAACUUGAACCAGAGUUUCAUGAUCAUCAUCAUUAACUUCCUCCUCAACCGGCGUCGCAACGACAGGGGUUUCCCCUUGCCCUGCGCCACCAUCCAGAGGGAUGAGAGGUUCGACAACCUUAUCAAGUUCUAUCUUCCUCCCACUCAAUUCUGUCGAGAGAAACUCCUUCUCGGGAAAAGCUCCGUUUUUAGCAACAAACACUUUGCCCUUGGAUUUGAGAUAGAAGGUGUACCCAACUGUCUCUUUUGGGUAACCUAUGAAGAUGCACUUUUCCGCUUUGGGUUCCAGCUUUUCAGGCUGAAGCUUUUUGACAUAAGCAUCACAUCCCCAAACUUUAAGAAACGACAACUUUGGCCUUUUGCCAUACCACAGUUCGUAUGGUAUCGUCUCAACGGAUUUUGAUGGUGCCCUAUUUAAAGUGAAUGCAGCUGUGUCUAAUGCAUAACCCCAAAACGAUAACGGCAAAUCAGUAAGAGACAUCAUAGAUCCCACCAUCUCUAAUAAAGUACGAUUACGACAUUCGGACACACCAUUACGCUGUGGUGUUCCAGGCGGUGUCAACUGUGAAACAAUUCCACAUUGUCUUAAGUGAGCACCAAACUCAAAACUCAGAUAUUCACCCCCACGAUCAGACCGUAGGAACUUGAUCUUCUUGUUACGAUGAUUUUCAACUUCACUCUGAAAUUGCUUGAACUUUUCAAAUGUUUCAGACUUGUGCUUCAUUAAGUAGACAUAACCAUAUCUACUCAAAUCGUCAGUGAAGGUGAGAAAAUAACGAUAUCCGCCGCGUGCCUCCACGCUCAUCGGACCGCACACAUCGGUAUGUAUGAUUUCCAACAAGUCACUGGCACGCUCCAUUGUUCCGGAGAACGGAGUUUUAGUCAUCUUGCCCAUGAGGCAUGGUUCGCACGUGUCAAGUGAAUCAAAGUCAAGUGACUUCAAAAGUCCAUCGGUAUGGAGUUUCUUCAUGCGCUUUACACCAAUAUGAGCUAAGCGGCAGUGCCACAAAAACAUGGCGCUAUCAUUGUUAACUCUAAAUCUUUUGGUCUCAAUGUUAUGUAUAUGUGUAUUAUCACUAUCAAGAUUCAAUAUGAACAAUCCUCUCACAUUCGGUGCAUGACCAUAAAAGAUGUUACUCAUAGAAAUAGAACAACCAUUAUUCUCUGACUUAAAAGAGUAACCGUCUCGCAAUAAACAAGAUCCAGAUAUAAUGUUCAUGCUCAACGCAGGCACUAAAUAACAAUUAUUCAAGUUCAUAACUAAUCCUGAUGGUAACUGAAGUGAAACUGUGCCGACGGCGAUUGCAUCAACCUUGGAACCAUUUCCUACGCGCAUCGUCACUUCAUCUUUCGCCAGCCUUCGUCUAUUCCGCAGUUCCUGUUUCGAGUUGCAAAUAUGAGCAACAAAACCGGUAUCGAAUACCCAGGCACUACUACGAGAGCCGGUUAAGUACACAUCAAUAACAUGUAUAUCAAAUAUACCUGAUUUUUCUUUGGCCGCCUUCUUAUCAGUCAGAUACUUGGGGCAGUUGCGCUUCGAGUGACCCAUACCCUUGCAAUAGUAGCACUCUGUUUCAGGCUUAGGUCCAGCUUUGGGUUUCUUCGUCGGAUUGGCAACAGGCUUGCCGCUCUUCUUUGAAUUACCCUUCUUCCCUUUGCUGUUUCUCUUGAAACUAGUGGUCUUAUUCACCAUCAACACUUGAUGCUCUUUACGGAGUUCAGACUCUGCGACUUUCAGCAUCGCAAACAACUCGCCGGGUGACUUGUUCAUCCCUUGCAUGUUGUAGUUCAACACAAAGCCCUUAUAGCUUGGCGGUAGUGAUUGAAGAAUUCUGUCAGUGAUAGCCUCUUGCGGGAGUUCAAUCCCCAGCUCAGCUAGACGGUUUGAGUACCUAGACAUUUUGAGCACAUGUUCACUGACAGUCGAAUUCUCCUCCAUCUUGCAAGCAUAGAAUUUAUCGGAGGUCUCAUACCUCUCGAUCCGGGCGUUCUUCUGAAAGAUAAACUUCAACUCCUGGAACAUCUCAUAUGCUCGAUGACGCUCAAAGCGACGUUGAAGUCCCGGCUCUAAGCCAUACAAGACUGCACAUUGAACUACUGAGUAGUCCUCCUUACGUGUUAACCAAGCGUUCUUAACAUCUUGGUCAGCCGUAGCGGGUGGUUCAUCUCCUAGCGCAGCAUUAAGGACAUAAUCCUUCUUCCCAACUUGUAGGAUCAACUUAAGAUUACGAGCCCAAUCUACAAAGUUGCUUCCAUCAUCUUUCAACUUAGCUUUCUCUAGGAACAUAUUAAAAUUCAGGGUUACUGUCGCGUGAGCCAUGAUCUACAACACAAAUAUAUUCAAAGUGGACUUAGACUAUGUUCAAGAUAAUUAGAGUUUAACUUAAUCAGAUUAUUUGCUAAACUCCCACUCAAAAAUACAUCUCUCUAGUCAUUUGAGUGGUUCAUGACCCACUUACACUAGCUCAAGUCCGAUCAUCACGUGAGUUGAGUAUAGUUUCAGUGGUAAGCAUCCCUAUGCUCAUCAUAUCAACUAUAUGAUUCAUGAUCGACCUUUCGGUCUCAUGUGUUCCGAGGCCAUGUCUGCACAUGCUAGGAUCGUCAAGCUUAACCCGAGUGUUCCGCGUAUGCAACUGUUUUGCACCCGUUGUAUGUGAACGUUGAGUCUAUCACACCCGAUCAUCACGUGGUGUCUCGAAACGACGAACUGUAGCAACGGUGCACAGUCGGGGAGAACACAAUUUCGUCUUGAAAUUUUAGUGAGAGAUCACCUCAUAAUGCUACCGUCGUUCUAAGCAAAAUAAGGUGCAUAAAAGGAUUAACAUCACAUGCAAUUCAUAAGUGACAUGAUAUGGCCAUCAUCAUGUGCUCCUUGAUCUCCAUCACCAAAGCACCGACACGAUCUUCUUGUCACCCGCGCCACACCAUGAUCUCCAUCAACGUGUCACCAUCGGGGUUGUCGUGCUACUCAUGCUAUUACUACUAAAGCUACAUCCUAGCAAAAUAGUAAACGCAUCUGCAAGCACAAACGUUAGUUUAAAUACAACCCUAUGGCUCCUGCCGGUUGCCGUACCAUCGACGUGCAAGUCGAUAUUAUCUAUUACAACAUGAUCAUCUCAUACAUCCAAUAUAUUACAUCACAUCGUUGGCCAUAUCACAUCAUAAGCAUACCCUGCAAAAACAAAUUAGACGUCCUCUAAUUUGUUGUUGCAUGUUUUACGUGGUGACCAUGGGUAUCUAGUAGGAUCGCAUCUUACUUACGCAAACACCACAACGGAGAUAUAUGAAUUGCUAUUUAACCUUGUCCAAGGACCUCCUCGGUCAAAUCCGAUUCAACUAAAGUUGGAGAAACCGACACUCGCCCGUCAUCUUUGAGCAACGCAGUUACUCGUAGCGAUGAAACCAGUCUCUCGUAAGCGUACGAGUAAUGUCGGUCCGAGCCGCUUCGAUCCAACAAUACCGCGGGAUCAAGAAAAGACUAAGGAGGGCAGCAAAACGCACAUCACCGCCCACAAAAACUUUUGUGUUCUACUCGAUAAGACAUCUACGCAUGAACCUAGCUCAUGAUGCCACUGUUGGGGAACGUCGCAUGGGAAACAAAAAAUUCCUACGCGCACGAAGACCUAUCAUGGUGAUGUCCAUCUACGAGAGGGGAUUUUCGAUCUACGUACCCUUGUAGAUCGCACAGCAGAAGCGUUAAGAAACGCGGUUGAUGUAGUGGAACGUCCUCACGUCCCUCGAUCCGCCCCGCGAACCGUCCCACGAACCGUCCCGCGAUCCGUCCCACGAUCUAGUGCCGAACGGACGACACCUCCGCGUUCAGCACACGUACAGCUCGACGAUGAUCUUGGCCUUCUUGAUCCAGCAAGAGAGACGGAGAGGUAGAUGAGUUCUCCGGCAGCGUGACGGUGCUCCGGAGGUUGGUGGUGAUCUAAUCUCAGCAGGGCUCCGCCCGAGCUCCGCAGAAACACGAUCUAGAGGUAAAACCGUGGAGGUAUGUGGUCGGGCUGCCGUGGCAAAAGUCGUCUCAAAUCAGCCCUAAUAGCUCCAUAUAUAUAGGAGGAGGGGAGGGGAGGCUUGCCUUGAGGCUCAAGGAGCCCCAAGGGCUGCGCCACCAAGGGAGGAGGAGUCCUCCUCCAAUCCUAGUCCAACUAGGAUUGGAAGGUGGAGUCCUUCUCUUCUUUCCCACCUCCUUUUUUUCUUUUCUCUUUGAUUUUCUAUCUAUGGCGCGUAGGGCUUUCUUGGGCUGUCCCACCAGCCCACCAAGGGCUGGUGCGCCACCCCCAAGGCCUAUGGGCUUCCCCGGGGUGGGCUGCCCCCCCCCCCCGGGGAACACCCGGAACCCAUUCGUCAUUCCCGGUACAUUCCCGGUAACUCCGAAAACCUUCCGGUAAUCAAAUGAGGUCACCCUAUAUAUCAAUCUUCAUUUCCGGACCAUUUCGGAAACCCUUGUGUCUUCCGUGAUCUCAUCCGAGACUCCGAACAACAUUCGGUAACCAACCAUAUAACUCAAAUACGCAUAAAACAACGUCGAACCUUAAGUGUGCAGACCCUGCGGGUUCGAGAACUAUGUAGACAUGACACGAGUGACUCCUCGGUCAAUAUCCAAUAGCGGGACCUGGAUGCCCAUAUUGGAUCCCACAUAUUCUACGAAGAUCUUAUCGUUUGAACCUCAGUGCCAGGGAUUCAUAUAAUCCCGUAUGUCAUUCCCUUUGUCCUUUGGUAUGUUACUUGCCCGAGAUUCGAUCGUCGGUAUCCGCAUACCUAUUUCAAUCUCGUUUACCGGCAAGUCUCUUUACUCGUUCCGUAAUACAAGAUCCCGCAACUUACACUAAGUUACAUUGCUUGCAAGGCUUGUGUGUGAUGUUGUAUUACCGAGUGGGCCCCGAGAUACCUCUCCGUCACACGGAGUGACAAAUCCCAGUCUUGAUCCAUACUAACUCAACGAACACCUUCGGAGAUACCUGUAGAGCAUCUUUAUAGUCACCCAGUUACGUUGCGACGUUUGAUACACACAAAGUAUUCCUCCGGUGUUAGUGAGUUAUAUGAUCUCAUGGUCAUAGGAACAAAUACUUGACACGCAGAAAACAGUAGCAACAAAAUGACACGAUCAACAUGCUACGUCUAUUAGUUUGGGUCUAGUCCAUCACGUGAUUCUCCUAAUGUCGUGAUCCAGUUAUCAAGCAACAACACCUUGUACAUAGUCAGAAGACCCUGACUAUCUUUGAUCAACUGGCUAGCCAACUAGAGGCUUGCUAGGGACAGUGUUUUGUCUAUGUAUCCACACAUGUAUAUAAGUCUCCAUUCAAUACAAUUAUAGCAUGGAUAAUAAAUGAUUAUCUUGAUACAGGAAUUAUAAUAAUAACUAUAUUUAUUAUUGUCUCUAGGGCAUAAUUCCAACACGGUGAGCUAUGCCUGACUGCUUUCAGCAGCAGCAAACCGCGUGGGCAACCUUUGAAGAUCUGGACGUUGGUGAAGAUAAUGGCUUGAGCUCGCGAUGGGAGCAUAGGCAUUCCUUUUCUAUAACAAGGUUGGUGCAUCCGAUGGCUCGUCUUCCAGGCGGCGCGAUAAUGAUACGAGCAACUCAAAAUCUAUAUCACUACGGUCUAUGGACACGUGAUCUGACCAACGUGUCUGAGCUGGACUGUCUGAGAUGCCAACACCUUAGGCUUAGGCAUCUUAGGAAGAAAAUCUUCUUCUUCAAUGUAAUACCUUACACUGAAAGUUUAAUUCAAAUUACUACUUAGCAGGCCCAAACCCGAGGCCUGCUAACUAGUAAUAUGAACAAAAUUGUACCUUCAUACGAUCUGCUCUACUACAAAGCUACCAAAAGAAAAGACAAGCCAAGUUUCUGAAUUUCUACUAUCAUUAAAUAAAGCAAACAUAAAUACUCCUAAAGUCACACAACAAAUUACACACGGGAUAGUCAGGACCCUUCGAUCAAAUCAACGUAAACAUAUCCUAAUGUCCAUCCAUAUUACGUCAAUGGUAUGUGAUCCGGAUCAACGUAUUAGAUGAAAAUGUUCUGUGGAGCAGACGUGGUGGUCUGCCCAUCCUUGCACCACUCAGCAUCAGCGACCCGGCGGCCCCACCAGCAACACCCUUAUUUUCGAUACGAUUCCACUCGAAUCAUGGCCAGAUCAAGAAAAAAAUAUCCGCAACACCGCCGCUCCUCCCUCGCAGCGACCAUUUAUCGCCUUACGUGAUUCGAGCAACAACUAUCGGUGAAAGGUUUCCCCCCCCCUCACCUCGUAUUGGGCCAACUCAUCACGCGCAAUGAAUAAUCAGCUUCUAAAAUGGGUGACAUGUUCGGUUCUUUAUCUAAAACCAUCGUUGGCCCCUGCAUGGGCUCCACGGAAGCGGAGGAGUCCCCCCUUCCCCUCCGGCUGAAGCACUCUUUUUCUCAUUCCGGCAGACGACGUAGUCGGACACAGGGAAGAUACGGGAAAAGAAUAUGUCCCAGUGCUUCGGCUAGUUCGAUGAGCGAGUUGCCGGACGUGGAAAAGACAAAAGGAUCCGCUGCGACCGGCGGUAGACUUGUAUAGCGUAUCCAUGUCGUGGCGAGUGGAGCUCCGCAUGACCGUACGUACACAUAAUUUUAAAUUUUAAAUUCAAAUGUGUAAAAGAUGUAAUGUUUUCGUUCGGUUUGUACGUAAAUGUAAAGGUAGCUGACUGUACGCCCACCCCUUGGUGCCAGAAGAGAAGGUGGCCCCGUCGUGUAUGGACUACUAGAACAUUGAUGGCGCGCGUUGCAGCGCUCAUGCAUUUUUUCAGUUGGAUGAUAGGCAAAUUUUGUAAUGCAUGGGCUUGUGAAAAUAAAGUUAAGUUUGUGUACAUAAAGAAUAUAUGUUUGACAGUAAACGAAACAGUUGAUAAUCUACAUUAAUAUUGUCUUAGAAAACAUGUUGACACAUCAACUAUUUGCCAACACAGGAGAAGAAUUAUAAACCACCAUAGCUAAAAGCUGCAACCUGCACGAAAUACAACACCUUCAACGGGUAAUAUUUCACUGCAGAAAGGAUGGAGUACUAUCAUAGGGUUCCACCAGAAGAUGAUCACCAACCUGGUUCAGCAAGUCUAAUUAGAGCAGAGACGGAAAAGCAUUAUCUGCAGGGGAAAGACUCCGUGAGAAAUAUGCAUAUGAUGGAUUAUUUUGAUGGAAAGCAAAGAGAAGAGCAAACUUAAGGUUUUUGUUAUAUAACAAAAGAGCCCGAUUACGAAAAAAGCAAAGCAAUAUAGUACAUACGACAUCACUGAGCAAAACCGUUUAAUAAGUUGUAAGUAAUCUUUGGUUCCGUUUGUACAACUCCUACAAUAUUAACACUUCUACAUUAACUUAUAGAACAGUUACCAUUUUUUAAAUUUUGCAAUAGAAACAAAAUGUUACACCUCGUAGUCAAAAAAAUUGCUUGAUUAAAGGCAGAGGUCAAUGUGAUCUAUAGUUACGUAUCUAGAAGCAAAGGGCAAUACAAUUCGACUAUGCACUACUAUUGUACAACUAAAUUGAACAUGGAAGUUUAGUCAGCAUCCGAAAAAUACUGAACUAUUAUAUCAAGGAGUGAGUUGGGUCAUACAUACAGGAGCAGAGCAAAAGGGUUGAUACUAGAUGUACCCAUUGACAGGAGAUGCAGAGCCCCAACCGAUGAUGCAGCAGAGAAGGGAGGCCUCUGCCAAUAUCUUAUGUAAGAAGAUUGAAUGCAAAAAUAUGUAGUCCCAUUAGAUUCAAAUCCUAAUAGUUAAUCCAAUGAUUAAAUCAUGACCAAGGCGUGUUCCUCCAAACCAAUGAGAACAAUUCCACAACCAUGAACCCAUACUGUUUUGUAACUGUAGGUGCCCACACAUAUCCAUAAUCAGAUCCAUGAUAACACAUCAAGAAAAAAUAAGGAAAAAAGGAAUUGAUUGAACAAAACGGAACACUGCAUAGGGAAGCAAAAUACUGACCAAGAGUCCAGCUCCGAAAAAGAGCAGAUUGUUGGUAUGUGGUAUUGAUGUCGUCGAUGGAGAAAAAAAAGUUCAAUGGAAGGGGAACAAAAGUCCGCCAUCAUCUCCCUCACCUACAAGCCGCACCCUCGGGUGACAUCCCAUAGAAGUCCACUUGGACGCCACUGCAGGGGCAGAGCAAACAAUAUGUUGUCGCUAUUAGGUUCAUGUUAUAGAGACUUAUUUGUAACACAAUCCACUACAAAUAAAAUAUAUAAACACAAAGUUUAGUUUGCAUUGCUGAGGCUCACGCUGAACUAUCUAUGUAUACCUACAAAUAUAAUAAACCUAGUCAACAUGUCUCAUCAUAAAAAGGAAAAUAUUAGCAAAUAUUUUUUUAAGAAAGUAUUAAUAAGUGAAAAUUCAGAUAAGAACAGACUUUGAGAAAAAUAUUAGAGUAAGGAUAUGGUGCAUCUUGAAUCUUAAUACAACAGAUAGAGCAUAAGUGGCACUCGCAAGAAGCAGCUAAUUUUUGACGGCAUACUUAAAUGUUCUUUAAGUUAUGUGCCGAGUAGUUACAACAAGUAGCAGACAGAGAAUCAGCGAGGGAAACUGAUAUUUACCUCUGUAAUAGCGGAUAAGGAUCCUUCAGAAGUUUAAGUUUCCCAUCGAUCCAAAAUGAAUACCAUAAAUUAGGAAAGAGUAGAUGAAGUCAUCGUUUUGGAACCUGUUUGAGGAAAAUAUCAAAAUGGAUUCAGUAAAAAAAAUCAUGACAAGGGAAAUGAACAAUUCCAAAAUAAAUAAAUCAUUGAUGCUGAUUCACAUUAAACACAACAUCCUCCUCUCGCCUUUCUAGUUUACAAUAGAAAAAUCCUUGUGGAGACAGUAAAUAAAUAUGGAUAUUGUGCAAUCCAAAUUUUUACAUAUUCACGCAAUGCAGAUUAGAAUGAAACCAUGUCUGUCUCAGAUGGAACAGUAAUCUAGAUAAGAAUGCAUGUUGUUUUUAGCAGAUUGUGUAUAAUUAUUUUUGCAUGUAACUUUUAGUUUACAUUGCCCGCUAAGCUGAACUUUAACUUGUGCACGAUCUUCAUGCCAGAAGUAACUAACACUAAUUAGAGAUGGGAUAGGAAGAAAAUAUACUGAUCGAUUGGCCUUCAGGCAGAACAUAUGUAAAGAUUGCUAUCCUGCAACAUGAAUAAACUGAGUAAAAGAACAUAUGAAAAGAUUUGUAGCAUAGAUCAACAUUCAACAAAAAGUAAGGACUUCACGGUAGAAAGCAGUAGAAAAAGCAAAGUUCAGUGACGAGCUGCAUAGAUUAACAUGGAUAAUUUUGAGUAAAAGGGCACUGACGGCGGCCACUUCCUGAUUGUCGUGGGAUACUACUCGGCAUGUGAAAAGUAGACAAAUCUGAAGAUUAGAACAUCCAAGAUAAAGAGAAGUGAUAUUUGCAUAGACAUUGGAUGUAGGUCCGGACCCUUUCCCCUUGCCAAGACGGCCUCUGCAGCAAAGUCCCUCCCUGUUCUACCGAUCUGAGAGAAAACCCUUCGUCGCGAGCGAUUUGAGAGUGAAGCCCAUACCUGCUACCUGCACCUUCAGAGCAAAGAUUGUAGAAGGACAGCACAGCUGGCCACCGUCUCUCACGCCCGCUGGAUCCCCUCGUCUGCUGGAUCCAUUUCCCUCAAGCGCAUCGGCUGAAGCGUGUCCCGCUGGAUCCCCUCAAUCGCCUCCCCUCGCGCCGGUUUUUGCUCCCCAUGCGCUGGAUCGGCUUGCUUCUCUCGCGCUCGAUACCCUUGCAAGUAUGGCUGCGGCUCCAAGGGGAUCCGAUGCUCAGUGGCAUGUCCAAUGGCGUCCCCGCCAGGGAAGGCUCCGAGGAGCUUGGGAAGCUGCUGCGCCGCCAUCGCUCAGAUGGAGACGAGCGAGACAAGGCAAGUCGCGAGGAGGUGGAAUGGGGUUAGGCCAGCCAUAAGCGUAUCACGACCGUUCGUUUGUGAUCGGACGUUAACUCGUAUAGGCGAAUGAGAGGGCUUCAAACUGGCUUCGGGAGUAGCGGCCCCCAGGAUAAUCGGCCCGUUAGUAGCCCACGCGUGAGUAGAGGCGCAUCAGACAGCCCAGUUCGCGACCUCAACAUUGAUUUGACGGUGACCUACAUCCCACACGCGAAAUCAACGGCUCACGAGCAAGGACGCGUGAGAGAGCUCGGAAUAGGUCCGAUACUGUCCUUAAUGGAGCAUGGACAGAAACGUACGUGGUUGCGCCGUCCUGACCCAGGACGCCGGACGUGACGCCGUCUGGAAUGAUAGAAAUUGAAGAUCGCCAGGCGCCGCGUCAACCACCAUUGAUGCCGGCCACUCAUGUCAUGCUGGCUAGGUAGCUGGCUUCGCAUUGAAUGGAUUGGGAGAGAUCAGUCUCCUCUCAGAUCUGGUAGUACUCCCCCGAUGGCUCGCGUCCCGCGCACCUCCGUCGUCGCUCCCUCGCCGGCCGGCGCCGCGCUCCACGAGUGCUCUUUCCCGCUCACGUACCUUGAUGCCUUGUGGCUCCACGUCCCGCCCGUCGACGGCGUCCUCUUCUACCGUGACGCCACCAGCGACGUCCUCCCCAACCUCGCGGACUCCUUGUCCCGUGCACUCGGCGCAUUUUACCCUCUUGCCGGCCGCCUCCGCCUCACCUCCGGCACGCACAACCGCUACGAGCUCCACUACCAGCCGGGCGACGGCGUCACCUUCACCGUCGCCGAGUACAGCAACCACCAUGUCGGCUUCGACGAGCUUGCCACGGACAACCCGACGGAGGUUGCCAAGAUCGUGCCGCUGGUGCCGCCGCUGCCCGAAGGCGGCGCGGUGCUCGCCGUGCNNNNNNNNNNNNNNNNNNNNNNNNNNNNNNNNNNNNNNNNNNNNNNNNNNNNNNNNNNNNNNNNNNNNNNNNNNNNNNNNNNNNNNNNNNNNNNNNNNNNNNNNNNNNNNNNNNNNNNNNNNNNNNNNNNNNNNNNNNNNNNNNNNNNNNNNNNNNNNNNNNNNNNNNNNNNNNNNNNNNNNNNNNNNNNNNNNNNNNNNNNNNNNNNNNNNNNNNNNNNNNNNNNNNNNNNNNNNNNNNNNNNNNNNNNUGUCGGGCCAAGGCCGAUGCGAAGGCAUGGACUGGGCAGUUUCUGGAACAAUUGCCUAGUUUCAUAAAAUUGUUGGACACGAGAUGGAGAAAAGAUCGACGGAUGAGGAGGCGAUGGACAUAUUACUCGAAUCUGCCGGUGAAAGGUAAGAGUAUUUCAUAUUAUUAAUUCAUCGUAUGUUUUUUAUAAAAGAGUCCUUCAUAUUUUUAGUAUCCAGCAUGUAGUUCAGUAAAACUGGUUAGUUUCGGAUAUUUUGGUACGUCCUCACGUGGCCCGCACACUAUUUGUGUGUUCCGUGUCACCGGGGUUUUUUCAUUGUUUUGAUCCAUGUGACGAAAAAAAUCAUAAAAUAAAUUGAAUCUGAAAGUAUUUCACGAUCUGACCCUUUUUAGAAACGUUGUAAGCAGUGGCGUUGCUGCGGCACUUAGAAACGCCAGCCUACCUUAACGUUUCAGAUCCAGGGCAUGUUCGGCUCCUUUUCUCUCCUACAGCAACGCCAUGAGGCAUGGCGUUUCAAGCCAGGGCAGCAACGUCGGGUACUGUGGCGUUUCGGUCUGGAGCUGCAAAGUGGACUAGUAAGGCGUCUGAAUGUGGAUCUAAAACGUUACGGUAGACAGGCGUUUCUAGAUGCCGCACCAACGCUACGGCUUACGGCAUUUUUAAAAAGGGUCAGAUCGUGAAAUACUUUCAGAUCCAGUUUAUUUUAUAAUAUUAUUUUUCGUCACAUGGCCAAAACAGUGGAAAAACACGUGUCACUCAACCGCUAGACUCGUCACCCGUAUAGGCUGAACUGGGUCUGGUACUCUGGUUCAUAAUUAUUAUUUUCAAGAAAAACGAUGCAAAGGGAAAAGUUGUCAUCAUGAGUUUGGAACUCACGAUGCAGCCAACUCAGGUGGUCUUCUUCAUGUGUAAAACAUGGCUUCUAUAGCAAUAAUAGUCUCACUUGGCUCUUUUAAACAUGAUUCCAUCAAUUUUUAUACACUAACACAAAUGACCGUGCGUUGCAACGGAAAAAAUAAUUAUUGUAUUACUAUAAAAAAAGUUUAGUAACCCGUCUAGCAAUGCGAUAGAGGCUUCAUAGUCAAUAGACAAUUUUUUCCACUCAUGGAUUAAGCCCAAGGAACUUUUAAUAAAAUUAUAGUUUAACCGUACUCAAUCACCCUUAGGGAACGUAUACCAAUAUACCCUGGGUUUUAAUACCGUGGUUUUUAUAUCAAAGUAUUAUGAAUUAUGAGUAAUACAUAAGUGAGCUAUAAUAAGGAGGUCAAUCCCUUUUGAUCGAGCUGCUGCCUAGCCAUGCCUUCAGAAAAGAGAAAACAAAGGGGUCCCUGCAUUUAACGAAUUUACUCACUCUCUUUCCCUGGCAUUUUUGUAUGUGUUGUCAUUUGAUUUGUGGGAUUAGUCUAUGCAGACAUGAAUCCAACAUUUUCAGGUUCUAUUCCAUUUUCCUUUUGAGAAGAAAAGAAGUUCUUGCCUAGUAAGAUCCAUCUCCGUUGCUAGUUUUAGUUGUUUUCAGUUGAUGGUUUGUGUUUCUCUAUGUUAACCAGAGCAACUGGAGCACAACGUCCUGCCGUGCCUUCCCUCGUUUCUCCCCUUCCUCCCAGUUCUCUUUCUCUCUCUCGCUCGUUUUCUUUUAGUAGCACGUCCGAGUAACCAUGGCGCUGCCUCGGAGAACCCCGACGCCUUGCAAGUCGCCACCGCCGCUCACCUGGAUCCGUCCCCAUCGUCAUUCCGUGCGUACAGCCCGUCCGCCGCCGCGCUGCGCACACCACAUUCGAUCGAAUCGAGCGGGAGAGCCGCCUGUCGCCUGCAUGUUCGCUGAGUCGCCUCGAUCCAAAUCGAUUGGGAGGAGACCCUGAUGCGUUGACCCAUCCUGUUGGCUCUUCAUUUUUCUCCUCCUUCAACUCCAUGAGGUCCUCCUGCAGUGCCUGAGGGCAGCGUCGGCUCCCCGCCUAGCUGUUGCCACGACUGUGGGCAGCGCCGGCUCCCCGCGUCGGAUCCCCGCCUAUUUGUCGCCGCGCCCGUGGGCAGCCCCGGCUCCCCGCCUUGUCUAGAUGGGAUCGGGAGUUUUUUUAUCUCCUACAUAACGGUUCGAUUGACUUAUUAUUAUAUGGACCGUGGGUUCAGUACACAAAACGUCAGGGGCUUUUUUGCAAAAUAGCCACGACGGGUUUUCCGACAGAAGCACUAGCCUCUUUAUUAUUAGGUAAAGAUUUAUGAUUUUGUUGUAUCAGUAGCCAACAAGUAGAUGACGGAAACGGGACGAAGGAAUUGGCCCCAAAAGUAAAAAAGAGAGGGCAAAGAAAUAAAAUCUGCAACGGGAUCCCAAACCUGCUAUACCUAGCAAGUCUAUCUUUUGUGUACGCAGUUUCGCCGUUAUUUUCUAAAAGCUUGGAUAAUUGGUUUAAAUUAUACUUUCCCACUUACAUAUUUCUCUAACUAAAGUUCGUAUUUCUCAGGUGUACCGCAUUAUACAUGCCUAAUGUACAUAAUUAACUUUUUAUAGGUACCUGUUGUGCCAUAUGCUCAUUUAAAUUUUUAUGCUGGGUCCACUCAUUUUAGCUCAAGGGUCAUAUGAACGGUAAGGCUGCCCGUAAUCGGAGUAUCAUAGGUAGUAUCAUACAUGUCAACUAAGCAAUUUCGAUGAGGUGGCAUAGAAUUAAAUGAAGAAAGAGAGGGUUGAGUAUCAUAUUAUGAUACCGUAUCAUAUUAAAUUAUGUGAUACUAUGUAUCUUGCAUGACAACAAAUAAACUAUCCUAUGAUACUAAGAUUUGAUACUAUACAUUACGGAUGUGGUAUCCACUAGUAUUACAUGCAUGAUACUAGUAUAUGAUACUACCCAUUACAACCAGCCUAAGAAACACUUGCAUUUUGGUGUCUUAUGUGCGUGCGUGCGUGCAUGAGUGUGUGUGCAAAUACGGUCACAAUAAUUUACCUUGUUGUUUAGUAGUACAAUUUUUAAACUCAAGAAAAUAUGUAAUUAUAUGAUUUUGUGUAUUUUUGUUAUCUGAGUCAAGUAAUAAAUAGUAACCUUCCUUUAAAGAAGCAUGGUGCCUUGCUUUCGUAAUUGAAUGGAUUAACUAAAUCGGUAAUGAUGGAUUGGACCAAUUGUGUGCGGUGAAUGGAACUAUGUAUGAAGUUGUGCUUGCAUUGCAUAUGAUUCGUAUUUGUGAAUAUUGACACAAUUAGUUUAUCCGAAUAUUGUAAUGGUACAAAAGAUCCGACUAAGAUUUCUUUAAAAAAAAAUUGUCGAACGUGAAGCGUCUUAGAGACCUAGGUUUGACUAAAUUGAUAUUGAUAAAAGAAUUGAAUUAGAUGCACUACUUAGAAAAAAAUGUGUUUAAAGUCAAUCAUGGACUUCCGCAUGUAGCGACGCAUGGGCCAUUGUGCUACCUACUUUGUACUAACUACCUUUUUACAGACAACUAACUAUCUUUUUAAAAUGAGUUUAGCUACUAAUUUUAAACGAAAUAAUUAAAUCUCAGUCGAUUGAGAUUUAACGGAGUCUCAGGGGUCUUUCCAAGCCGUGGGAUACAUGCACAAUAAGAUUUUUUGAUAUGAAACUUUUUUUUUGAUGUGGGACAACAAGAGAUGUGUGGGUGCUGUUCUCUUCUCUCCAAGGCGUGCGUAUGUAUUUUAGAAAGAGAGCCUGCAAUCUACAUGAGAAGCUUGUGUUUGGCCAAGUCCAAGAAGUGCAAAAAAAAGGAACAUAAUAUAAUGUUGCAAACCAAACAACCGACAUUUUCUUAAAAACAGCAUAGAAAAAGCCUUUUUCUUAUAAAUAUUAACACAUAACUGUAUGUAAACAAUUUCACUUCAAUACACCACUACUCUCCCAUCCAGUGAUAGUGUGAUGCUGAUUGAGGAAAUGUCGAAGGACAUGAAUGUGGGUUCAUCAACUUUUUUGAACCGCGGACACCAAAAAUUGUAUCAUCAUUGACAAUGAUGGCGAACAUGAAAAGUGGCAACAUGAAUGAUCACUAACAAAAUGUGAUAAUGUUUUCUUUUAGUGCAAAACACGACACAUUAAACUGUUGCAUACAAAGGUUAAAGGGAGCCUUCUUUUGAAAGACACACAUUACAAACGUAAACUCACAAAUGUAAAAAUCCAACAUACCAAAAAUCCUUUUACAUUAAACUGUUUUGACAUUUCUAAAAAAAUAGAUUGAUUAUUAAAAUCUUGAAUAGUAUAGAAUAUUCCAACGCCUGUUUGUCCCGGUACAAAUAAAUACACCAUCUCUCUUCCACCCGGUAGAAUUUCUUAACUCAGUACUCCAUGGUUUGGACAUCAAAAUUCAUUUUUUAAUUAUCGACACUGAUCGUCUACUUAUUUAAGAUAAUGAGAUUUCUAAUUGUUCUUAGUUUCAAAAAAUAUUCAUAUUUUUUAACAAAAUCAUUAAAAAAAUGUAUGUGCUCAUAAAAUGUUCAGCUUAAAACAUGUUCUCUGGAAAUAAAAAAACAGUUUCUUAAAAAGUAAAGAAAUAUUUGUGUUUUCUGGAAAAGCAAAACAUAAAAUCGACGGGCAGUCUAUUUCAUGUGCAACACUACUCGUCCAACACACGAAGGUAGUUAGGCUGGUUUUCACACUUCAUGCUUCGAACAAGAAUAAAAGUGUAACCUUAUUACCAAUGUUUAGUGGAAUCGGGUAUAAGAAAUGACACGUGAUGGGAUAAUUUUUUCAUCCAUUGCAACGCACGAACAUUUAUACUAAUGUACUGUAAUAAUAAUAACUACCUCUUAUACAAAGUGAUCUUUCUGUGACGGCGCCAUUUAAUAGCGAAACGUGUUAGUGGGAAGAAGCAGAUGCCAGUACGUUGUAGUCGAUUGUCUCCAAAAAAGUAUGUUGUAGUCGAUGCUACCGAAUCAACCGAGCGAUUGUACACCACCCAACUACGCGAGCGAAGAACCCUAGCAGCUAGGGCUAGCGAGUGGCGGCAGAAGGGUGUAGGAGGCUAGGGGGCAGGCCGCAGCAUAGCGGAGCAGUCGUAUAAGGAGAAAUGACUUUCAAAUCAAAUGUAAAAGUGAAAAGUAUAAUUUGAAAUUUAUUUUCUAAAUCUGUGGCGUAGAGAAUAGCUCAGAAAUCUACAAUGCCUUGACCUUAAACUAGUGGUUGGGGCCUGCCAUUGCGGGUCUUCUGAAAAGAAGUUGGGGCGUUGUCAGCUAAAGACGAGUCAAUUACACUGACGGUGCUAGAACUUGACGCAAACGAUCACUUUGGUGCCAAAACUUUCAGCAUACAUCAAACUGGUACAAUAACUCGGCUAAAGCGUACAAAUACAGUGUAAAUCUUAACUGUAUACACCCGAACCGCUGACUAGGCAUGCUAGCGUGGCAUGAGAACCGUUGUCAGUGACUCAAUGGCAGUGGGCGGCAUGUGGCCAGUUUUUUUUGUUGCGAAAACCACUUUUUUACUUAUCACAAAAAGCUCCUAACAUUAUCUGUUGUGGUGGAAUCUCAUGUAUUUUAAAAAUUAUUAAAAAGAAAAAGAGUGUUGCGUGCCACGAACCAACGACCUCUCACUACACACAGACAGUCCUAGUCACUCCACCUGUAACGUAUUCAUAUGUUAAGUGGGUAAUUAAACAUAAUGUAGUUGAAAAGAUUGCCUAAAAAAAACUAAAAAAAGAGACCCUAAAUAAACAGCGCCUUAGUUCAAAAUUUGAAAUAAUAUUUAUAAAUAAUAUAAAUGUUUUCAUAACUAAUAUAUAUAUGUGCGUGAAUAUUCAUAUUUUAUAAUUUUAAAUCAUUUUUUAUAAUAGAAUUAUAUAUAUAGAAAUAAAAAUAUUUCUAUAAUUGCAAACACUUCAAAAAUUAUGUGCACAAUAUAGUUCAAGAUUUUCAUAAUAAAAACAUAUGUAUUUUAAAUUAUAAAAUGUUCAUAUGAGUAGCCUGUGAUAGAUAAUAUAUAAAUUAGAUAACAUUUUUGAAUAUGAAUCACGAGUUAAAAUUAUACACAAGUGAAUAUUUAGUAAAUGUUUGUAUUCAUCAUUUUGUACAAUUUACAUAUAAGAUGCAAGUAUAUUGUUUUGGUAUUUAAAUAUUAAAACAUUUGUAUUUAAAAUAUACUUUAAAUGUCUGUAUUUUAAAAAAAAUAUAAUACAUGCGUGUACAUUUAAAUGUUUUUAUUUACUCCCUCCGUUCCAAAAUAAGUGUCUUAAGCUUAGUACAAUUUCAUAUUAGAGCUAGUACAAAGUUGAGACAGUUAUUUUGGGACGGAGGGAGUAUUAAUCAUCAUCUUUAUGGGUACUAUUUAUGUCCACACACAAAAUAUAAUUAUAAUCCAUAAAUAUUUGAACAUUAUUUUUAUUCCAUACGUUUUACAAAUAUGGACGACACUAUUGGCAACCCAUUUAAGCCUCUCAUGCGUUCAGUUUAUACUAAAUGAAGACCUGUUGUUAAUAUUGUGCAGAAUAUUAUGAGUGUUGGAGUUGUUAACUCUUCGGUUGGUUGCGAGUUAGACUCAUUCAUGCCCUCUUAUUUUCGUUUAAUUUUUCGGUACUAACAGCUGGGCCUCAUGUGUCAUAGAAGCAGAAAAAUAAAAUGCCUUCUUACGUGUACAUAGUGGGGCUGUCUUAUUUCCGUCUAAUUUUUCAGUACUGACAGCUGGGCCUCAUGUGUCACAGAAGCUGAAAGAUAAGAUGCCUUCUUACACGUGCAUAGUGGUUUUUAUGAGAAAUAAAAAAAAUCAAGGGGAUUUUCACAAAAAAAGGCCUCACGCAUCCCUUCCUUCCUUUCGUUCUCUCACAGCGUGGCACACGCCACGCUGGCACUCCAAGUCACCCUUAUAGCCGUAUCAAACAUGAUUUGCAUCGUAUUUACACGUUUGAGCCAAAUUGUUGCAUCAGUUUAAUGUAUGCCGCAAGUUCUAGCACCAAACUGACCGUCUGAGCCAAGUUCUAACACCAUUGAUGUAAUUGACUCGGUAAAGACAUGCCCCUUUUUAUUUUCUUGUUUGUACCACAGGAUGUUAUUUCAUCACUUGAAGUAUAUGCAUUUAAGCCACAAGUCCUAGUAUACGAAAUAGGUUCCUCACAAAUCACUUGCAGCUCAGGCAUGAUCUUCAGCACCGAAGAUACAACCUCGACGAAGGUCUCACCCUUGAAAUCCAGCAACACAGGGGGAAUAAAACUCUACCCCGCACGAGGCGAGAAGUUACCAUAGAGCUUCACACAUGCUUCAUGCACGAAGCCAACAACAGGCUCUGCUAUAGGAGCCGACACAAGAGGGAGCUUUGGCAAGUGGCCCAGCCGGCCAGCAACAACCUCCAUCCGCUCCAAAAAUCCCCCGAGCAAAGUCAUCCACCCCUGAAAAGCAGUCAUCAUGUCGCGAAGAGGUUGGACCACCUCCUCCAAAAGAGACACGGUCAAAGCUCGCAUCUUAGAACGCAACACUUGCAUCUGAGAAUGAAGGAGAGGCUCGAGCAAUUCCAAAUAUACUGCAACACACUUGAUGGGAUCUGAUGCAGUCGGAGGGGCAACAACCGAGGCCCAAAAGCAUUGUUGCGUAUGCGAAGAUCCAGGAGUCGAACGGCUAUAGUGGUGAGGAGCUCGGCAGGCCUGCAGGUCCUUGGGACGACGCGGGGAAGCCGGAAGCAAGCAAGGACGGAGGUGAGGACCUCCCCCCUAAGGUUGGCGCGAGGGACAACCACGCUCACGAUAGGAGACCACAUGCGAGACACCUGACAUGAACGACAACCAGCGACGAAAUGCUCCGACGCCCAGCAACCGUAACAAAGGCCGAAGGCUCUCCGCUUAAGGGCGAGGAAGCUGAUAGUCUCCAUCAUGUGCGACAGCGCGGAUAGCAAUUACAAGAGGCGAUACAUAACAUUUGUGAGGAACAGUUGGACAUAAUAAAAAAGAAUUACUGUUUUGCGAAUAAGGAACCUUAUAAUUAACCCAAAAAAAGGAUUCUUAUAAGUGAGUCGAUGGUUUUUAAGCGUGUUUAUAGGUUUAAAACAUGUUGCCACUUGUAAAUACAUGUUUCUUUCUGCUAUUUUAAUAUUUUAAUUAAAAGGCAAGGUUUCUGUCGGUUGCUUGGAUUAUUAUUUUUGGAUCGAUGAACCCCUCACUAUCUCGUUUAUGAUAUCCUUAACAAUGUAACCUUUUUUAUUCUAUCCCUCCCUACUAAUAAAGCACCUAUUGCUUCUGUGGUACGUCAUUAAAAUUUGUCUCCAAAAUUUUCUAAUAUUACCCACCAAUGCCACCUAUAAGUUAUAAAAAACGUUUUGCAGGGAAUCCUCGCAUGGGCCUGCCGAAGCAUGGGGACCAGCUAUACUACGCUCUGCUCGCUGGAAAAUACACAGCACGCCCAUUUNAAAAUUUUCUAAUAUUACCCACCAAUGCCACCUAUAAGUUAUAAAAAACGUUUUGCAGGGAAUCCUCGCAUGGGCCUGCCGAAGCAUGGGGACCAGCUAUACUACGCUCUGCUCGCUGGAAAAUACACAGCACGCCUAUUUGGGCCAGCCCAUGGGAGGGGGCCUAUUUUUUUAGUUUUUUAGUUACUAUUAUUUAUCUGUUCCUUUUUAUUUUUUCUAAUUCAAAUAAAUCAAAAAUAAACUUUCUAAAUUCAAAAAUAUAUAUUUACAUAAAUGUUUGAUAAAACUAAAAUCUUUGCAAAUUCAAACAUUGUUCGGGAUUUUUGUAAAAAUGUUUACAUAUUGAAAAAAUCGUAAUUUUGGAGAAAACAUUCGUGAAUCAAAAAAAGUCCAUCAUUUUGGGAUUUUUUUAAUGCAAUUAGAAAAUGUUUGAUAUUCAAAAAAUGAAUUAUUCGCCAAUUCACAAGAAAAUACUUGAAAACAGUUCGUAAUGUAAAAUAUUGAUUGGAAUUUUAAAAAAUGUUUAUAAAUAGUAAAAAUGUUCUUGAUUUUAAAAAUAUUUCCAAAUUUGUAAGAAUGUUCAUGAAUGAUGGAGUGUAUGCAGUUCAACAGUAAUGCUUCUGAGUCUUUCAGAUUAUAUACAUGAGUGAAUUUUGAAGAAUUAAUUGUCAGGGUGGAUCGGAAUAUUAUAGUAUAUUUUAAAAAAUGUUUCUUGAAAUUCAGAAUAAUUCUUUGAGGUUUGUGAACAAAUUUUUGAAAUCAUGCGAUGAGAUAUGAACAUAAUGUGGUCAUCGCCAUUAAAGAUGAUGGUUUUUUUUCUCGCGUUGCAACGCAUGGGUUCUUUUGCUAGUAUUAAUAAAGCUUUCAGGAUCUUUUAAAAAUGUUUGUAAGGAUAAAGUUUACGCAUGUACGUUUAUAUGGAUAUAAAUAUAUGCGUGUAUAUAUAAGUGUUUGUGUGUGUACCUUAAAAAAAGUUCAUUGUGAUGACCUUCUCUAAAAGAAAAACGAAACGACAACGACUGUAUGGAUUGAGAAUCCAUUUUCAAUCGAGAAUUAGGCCUCGUUCGGAGGUACUCCGCUCCACAGCUCCACUCCAGGAGCCGGUGGAGUUUUAGUUGAUAUUUGCGGAGCGUUAAUUUACCGGCUCCGCAGCUCUUCGGAGCUGGUGGGAUUCCGAACGGACCCUUAGACGGACACCAUAUGCUGUAAUUUGGAUUCCCACUAACAACAACGUAGCAACAAGAAAGCUAGUAGUGCAAAUACCCAAGGCAAAAAUGCCACCUACGUACAGUAAUAAUGGGCUAGCGUCAUGAGCCCUUGGCGACCAUCACAUUAUUAUCAUGAGCAAAUCGUCCCAAAUCCUCCCCAUUCUUGAUCCUCCUGAUCCUGGCCAUCACCUCAUCAAAGGCGAUGUCGAACGCAUCCCUCGUGUCCCCCUCGAACCUCACCCUGGGGUCCUUGUACAGGAACCUCGGGAUCAUCUUGAUCACCUCCUCCCUCAUGGCGGCCACCUCCUCGUCGGUGUACCUGGCUAGCACCUCCUCGAUGCCCACCUUCCCUUCCAGGAUCUCGUCGGGGUCGAUGAGCACCGAGUACGGCCGUCCGUCCUCGCCGUCGCUGCUGUCCGGAUCUGGCUCGUGCCACCGGUACUGCUUCUUGAAGGUGGACGCCUCGUGGAAGAAGACCGGGAUGCAUCCGGCCAUGAUGGCGUCGACGGAGGAGCGGCGCAUGAACGAGUCGCCGCGCGGCUGCAGGCAGAAGCGGGACGAGGCGAAGACNNNNNNNNNNNNNNNNNNNNNNNNNNNNNNNNNNNNNNNNNNNNNNNNNNNNNNNNNNNNNNNNNNNNNNNNNNNNNNNNNNNNNNNNNNNNNNNNNNNNGGAAUACUUUGUGUGUAUCAAACGUCGCAACGUAACUGGGUGACUAUAAAGAUGCUCUACAGGUAUCUCCAAAGGUGUUCGUUGUUUUUGUAUGGAUCGAGACUGGGAUUUGUCACUCCGUAUGACGGAGAGGUAUCUUGGGGCCCACUCGGUAAUACAACAUCACACACAAGCCUUGCAAGCAAUGUAACUUAGUGUAAGUUGCGGGAUCUUGUAUUACGGAACAAGUAAAGAGACUUGUCGGUAAACGAGAUUGAAAUAGGUAUGCAGAUACUGACGAUCGAAUCUCGGGCAAUAACAUACCGAAGGACAAAGGGAAUGACAUACGGGAUUAUAUGAAUCCCUGGCACUGAGGUUCAAACGAUAAUAUCUUCAUAGAAUAUGUGGGAUCCAAUAUGGGCAUCCAGGUCCCGCUAUUGGAUACUGACCGAGGAGUCACUCGGGUCAUGUCUACAUAGUUAUUGAACCCGCAGGGUCUGCACACUUAAGGUUCGACGUUGUUUUAUGCGUAUUUGAGUUAUAUGGUUGGUUACCAAAUGUUGUUCAGAGUCCCGGAUGAGAUCACGGACGUCACGAGGGUUUCCGGAAUGGUCUGGAAACGAAGAUUGAUAUAUAGGAUGACCUCAUUUGAUUACCGGAAGGUUUUCAGAGUUACCGGGAAUGUACCGGGAAUGACGAAUGGGUUCCGGGUGUUCACCGGGGGGGGGGGCAGCCCACCCCGGGGAAGCCCAUAGGCCUUGGGAGUGGCGCACCAGCCCUUGGUGGGCUGGUGGGACAGCCCAAGAAGGACCUAUGCGCCAUAGAUAGAAAAUCAAAGAGAAAAGAAAAAAAGGAGGUGGGAAAGAAGAGAAGGACUCCACCUUCCAAUCCUAGUUGGACUAGGAUUGGAGGAGGACUCCUCCUCCCUUGGUGGCGCAGCCCUUGGGGCUCCUUGAGCCUCAAGGCAAGCCUCCCCUCCCCUCCUCCUAUAUAUAUGGAGCUAUUAGGGCUGAUUUGAGACGACUUUNGGCCACGGCAGCCCGACCACAUACCUCAACGGUUUUACCUCUAGAUCGCGUUUCUGCGGAGCUCGGGCGGAGCCCUGCUGAGAUUAGAUCACCACCAACCUCCGGAGCACCGUCACGCUGCCGGAGAACUCAUCUACCUCUCCGUCUCUCUUGCUGGAUCAAGAAGGCCGAGAUCAUCGUCGAGCUGUACGUGUGCUGAACGCGGAGGUGCCGUCCGUUCGGCACUAGAUCGCGGGACGGUUCGUGGGACGGUUCGCGGGGUGGAUCGAGGGACGUGAGGACGUUCCACUACAUCAACCGCGUUUCUUAACGCUUCUGCUGUGCGAUCUACAAGGGUACGUAGAUCGGAAAUCCCCUCUCGAAGAUGGACAUCACCAUGAUAGGUCUUCGUGCGCGUAGAAUUUUUUUUGUUUCCCAUGCGACGUUCCCCAACACACCGUGCAUCUCAUCCAGCAAGAAGGAUUCGUCAAUGGCGGGGUCAACCGAACCAGGCAAAGGGGUGAUGGUGAAACUCUUAUCUUUCAGGCUAAAGCGAAGGAGGCCAUGUGGACGUGGCUUGCUAUGGCGCCGGUCGAUGACCCAAAACAAGGCACCGUUGGCGUGUACGGCGGUUAUCCAGUCCGCGACUGGGUAUGGUGGAUCAGACACAGUUUCCCUCCAAGAGGCCGACAAAGCACCGAUGGUGAACACUUCCAUUCCCAUGCGGUAGGUGUCGGUGAGAGGAUCUCGAGAGCGGUAGAAGGCCCGGACAACCUUGUGCAUGCCGGUGCAAGGAUCCAGACCCAGCCCUACCGGAAGGCAGACAUCCUGAUCCUGUUGCGGUCACUAUUCGACGGCGUCACGGUCUCCCUGGUUGCAGGAUUGAAGAGGUAGAAGUUGGUGUCGGUGGGGGCAAGCACCAGGCCAUCACAGUGCGCAAAGUAGCAUACCGAAUUAGGGGGUGUUUGGUUACAUGAACUUAUUAGGACUUAGAACUUAUAAGUCCCUUUUAAGUCCCAUCUAAACCAAAUAGGAGGGACUUGUAGGGACUUAAAAGUGGGCAUUUGGGACUUAUGAAAUAAGACUCUCAAGGAGAGAGUCUUAUAGUUGUAACUAGCAAAAGAGCCCGUGCGUUGCAACGGGAGAGAAAAUAACACACACUCUUAACCCAAUAACCACGACUCAAGACCUUAAUAGGCCCACGUUUUUCAGUUCCACAUGACAUCACAUUUAUGUUGUCGAUAAUGGACUCAAUGCUCAUGCAAUGAAAACGUGUUUGAUUGUGGUCAGUCCUAAGAUCUCUCUUCUUCUUUAUCUUGGAGAAAAACAUUCAAUAUGUUUUGUAUACUUAGUUAGAGAGGGAGUAUACACCAACUCGAUGCAUAUUUAAUGAACAAAUCAAGAGAUAAAAGCAUGAAAGAACAUUAAGUACAAGUAUUCCAAACAAUUUAAAUCCAUGUCUUGUGAACUUAUAUUAUUAAUGAACAUAUAAUAAGUAAACAUGGAUAUGAUCUUACUUGAUGUUUCANNNNNNNNNNNNNNNNNNNNNNNNNNNNNNNNNNNNNNNNNNNNNNNNNNNNNNNNNNNNNNNNNNNNNNNNNNNNNNNNNNNNNNNNNNNNNNNNNNNNAAGUAACAUACCGAAGGACAAAGGGAAUGACAUACGGGAUUAUAUGAAUCCUUGGCACUGAGGUUCAAACUAUAAGAUCUUCGUAGAAUAUGUAGGAUCCAAUAUGGGCAUCUAGGUCCCGCUAUUGGAUAUUGACCGAGGAGUCUCUCGGGUCAUGUCUACAUAGUUCUCGAACCCGCAGGGUCUGCACACUUAAGGUUCGACGUUGUUUUAUGCGUAUUUGAGUUAUAUGGUUGGUUACCGAAUGUUGUUCGGAGUACCGGAUGAGAUCACAGACGUCACGAGGGUUUCCAGAAUGGUCCGGAAACGAAGAUUGAUAUAUAGGAUGACCUCAUUUGAUUACCGCAAGGUUUUCGGAGUUACCGGGAAUGUACUGGGAAUGACGAAUGGGUUCCGGGAGUUCACCGGGGGGGGCAACCCACCCCGGGGAAGCCCAUAGGCCUUGGGGUGGCACACCAGCCCUUAGUGGGCUGGUGGGANAGAGAAAAGAAAAAAAAGAGGAGGUGGGAAAAGAGGGAAGGACUCCUCCUUCCAAACCUAGUUGGACUCGGUUUGGAAGGGGAGGGCUGCCCCCCUUGGCUCGGCCGAAACCCUUAGGGGUCCUUGGACCCCAAGGCAAGGCUCCCCCUCUUCCCCCUAUAUAUACGGAGGUUUUAGGGCUGAUUUGAGACGACUUUUUCCACGGCAGCCCGACCACAUACCUCCACGGUUUUUCCUCUAGAUCGCGUUUCUGCGGAGCUCGGGCGGAGCCCUGCUGAGAUAAGAUCACCACCAACCUCCGGAGCGCCGUCACGCUGCCGGAGAACUCUUCUACGUCUCUGUCUCUCUUGCUGGAUCAAGAAGGCCGAGAUCAUCGUCGAGCUGUACAUGUGCUGAACGCGGAGGUGCCGUCCGUUCGGCACUAGAUCGUGGGACUGAUCGCGGGACGGUUCGCGGGGNNNNNNNNNNNNNNNNNNNNNNNNNNNNNNNNNNNNNNNNNNNNNNNNNNNNNNNNNNNNNNNNNNNNNNNNNNNNNNNNNNNNNNNNNNNNNNNNNNNNACGAGUUCUCCUCCAUCUUGCAAGCAUAGAAUUUAUCGGAGGUCUCAUACCUCUCGAUCGGGGCGUUCUUCUGAAAGAUAAACUUCAACUCCUGGAACAUCUCAAAUGCUCCAUGACGCUCAAAGCGACGUUGAAGUCCCGGUUCUAAGCCAUACAAGACUGCACAUUGAACUACUGAGUAGUCCUCCUUACGUGCUAACCAAGCGUUCUUAACAUCCUCAUCAGCCGUAGCGGGUGGUUCAUCUCCUAGCGCAGCAUUAAGGACAUAAUCCUUCUUCCCAGCUUGUAAGAUUAGCUUAAGAUUACGAGCCCAGUCUACAAAGUUGCUUCCAUCAUCUUUCGACUUAGCUUUCUCUAGGAACGUAUUAAAAUUCAGGGUGACUGUCGCGUGAGCCAUGAUCUACAACACAAAUAUAUUCAAANAAGAUUAUGAGCCCAGUCUACAAAGUUGCUUCCAUCAUCUUUCAACUUAGCUUUCUCUAGGAACGUAUUAAAAUUCAGGGUGACUGUCGCGUGAGCCAUGAUCUACAACACAAAUAUAUUCAAAGUGGACUUAGACUAUGUUCAAGAUAAUUAGAGUUUAACUUAAUCAAAUUAUUCGCUAAACUCCCACUCAAAAAAUACAUCUCUCUAGUCAUUUGAGUGGUUCAUGAUCCACUUACACUAGCUCAAGUCCGAUCAUCACGUGAGUUGAGUAUAGUUUUAGUGGUAAGCAUCCCUAUGCUAAUCAUAUCAUCUAUAUGAUUCAUGAUCAACCUUUCGGUCUCAUGUGUUCCGAGGCCAUGUCUGCACAUGCUAGGCUCGUCAAGCUUAACCCGAGUGUUCNUAUUCGCUAAACUCCCACUCAAAAAGUACAUCUCUCUAGUCAUUUGAGUGGUUCAUGAUCCACUUACACUAGCUCAAGUCCGAUCAUCUCGUGAGUUGAGUAUAGUUUUAGUGGUAAGCAUCCCUAUGCUAAUCAUAUCAUCUAUAUGAUUCAUGAUCGACCUUUCGGUCUCAUGUGUUCCGAGGCCAUGUCUGCACAUGCUAGGCUCGUCAAGCUUAACCCGAGUGUUNNNNNNNNNNNNNNNNNNNNNNNNNNNNNNNNNNNNNNNNNNNNNNNNNNNNNNNNNNNNNNNNNNNNNNNNNNNNNNNNNNNNNNNNNNNNNNNNNNNNACGCGGAUUUCUAUAAUCGAAACAUCUGGAAUCUUAGCACGUACGAAACAUAGAAUCCCGAUGAGCGAAAUCUUAAUGAGCUGCUCAAGUCAAAUUUGCAGGGCAGGGAUUAAACAACGCGUAGGAAUGCCAAGCUGCCCUGGGAUUAAGAAUUCUUGAGAUGCAGCGUAUAAACAAGAGCAGUGGGGAUGACUUGUUUUUGGAUCUAGCAAAGCCCUGACUAGCUGAUUUUUCUUUUCGAGGUUGCAUUUCGUAGUACAAGACAAUUAGCACGGCGCCCCAAGUAAUGAAGUGUUGCUGAAGGAAGACUAGCUGUUACCAACAAGUCCUAACUACGGUGUGAUAUUUACAAGGAUUACUUAUAAUACUACUGAAAUACAUGAGGAACCAUACCAUAUUACUUGCACAUUUGGAGUACGAUGUUUGCUGCCAAAGCACUUUGCAAUAAUCAUCAACACGUUAAUUUACCGGCCGCUGCUACGGCGGAUAAUUUCCAGAAAAAAUUAUCCGCCUAGCCAGCCCUUAGGGGACGUACGAUCUGACGCUGCAUCCGUAGCUGCAGGUGUUUUUCAUGUCAACAUUAAGCGUCGGCAAAAGCUUCAUAGCAACACCUGCGGCGUCGGUGCUCAGCAGCGAGACGAAGCUGCAACGGAGCACCGACGCCGCAGGUGAAUCUCCAGUGCAGCAUCGGCGAAGCUCCAUUGUAACUCUGACUGAGCUUCAUUGCAGCCUCGACAAAUCUUUGACAUCUCCGACAAAGCUCCGUUGCAAUUCCGGCAGAGCUCCAUCGCAGCCCUGCCAGAGCUCCAACGCAGCAUGAUGCUCCGGCGCAACUCCAUUGCAACUGCGGCCGAGCUCCAUUGCACAUGCAACAGAGCUCCAGCGUAGUGCUGACGUCUCCAGCGGAGCUGAAUUGCAACUCCGGCGCUUCGCAACACCGUACCUUCUAGCGAAGCAUGUAAUCUUCCCCGAGGCCGGUGAGGUCGCCGCAAGAACCGGGGUCGGGGCCGGUGAAGUGGUGGCUGGCCGGGCCUGUAAUUCAACCCGAGGAGGAGAGGACACCAUGAGAGAGAGGAAGGGGGAGAGAGACAACGCUAGCAAGGAGGGGAUUGCUUCGGGCAGAAGACGAGAUCUGAAUGGUGAGAAGAUAAGUCUGCAUCGGUCCCGUAGGGACACCUGGCGAGAGAGGGAAGCGACGUAAGUGGUGGGAAAAUCAUCCGCAUGAUUUUAAGUGUUUUCCUAAUUUACCAUAUUAAGAGACAUGCUAAUGGUCGACCACAGACCACGCACAAGUAAUAAAUUAUCCACUUACCUACACAUACUAAUUAAUCCAAAAUAAUUAAUUUGCCAAAAAUAAUAUAAUAUAAUUAACCCGCAGGACUCCCAAUCCUAAAGAAAAUGGAUAGUUCGUGCGCGACUCCUACAACCGCACCGGGGCGCCCCUCCGGGCGUCAUAUGUUCCUGGGGGGGGGGUGUCAUCCUCUCGUGCAUGCCGGUGUCUUUGGGUAGGGCGUGGCACAUGACGGGGGUCGACGUGGUGACGGGACGCGGGCGAUGGUGUCGGAUCUGGGUGCCAUGCCUGAAACCUCUCCUGUCGACGGCUUCUAGUCGGGUCAGGUUGGACACGUUCAGGCCAUGUGCCCGGAGUUGUUUCGCUUGACGUGUCGUUCCUUCUACGUUGGUAGGCGUCUCCAAUGAAGGCUUCUACCUCCUACUUUCCUGGUUCAAGGGACUACCGACGAGGAGAAAUCCUUUGCUGGUAUCUACUGGCACAGAUGGUUCGGCGACGUCUAUGAACGCCACUAACCUACUUGGAGGGUAUCAUCACGAUGGUGGUCUCAUCGAGCUCCGAGGGAAACCUUAGAUUUACCUUCCCGUACCGGACAGUGGCGACAUGCGACGUCGUCUAUCUUCUUGGAGGCACUGUUUUGGAGCUCAUAUCUGCCGGCGUUGGAUUACAAUGUUGUAGCGGCAUUGGAUUACCACGUAGCUUCGUCGGGAAGGGUCGUUUUCUCUUGAGGAUACUGUGGAAGAUCGGGUAAUGGUGGUGUCUCACACCACACCCCCUCUCGGGGCAUCGUUCUUGGAGCAAGUGUUGGUUGGACGGGUCAAGAGGUGGAGAGGCGUCAUAUCUACCGCGUUGACACCCGUCAAUCUCGGCGGUAGAUGUAUCUUGAUGCACGAGUGCGGGGCGGUGGUGCUGUUUGUCAACGUGGCAACGUCGAUGGCUCACUAGACUGAUAAUGAUGAUGUAGAUCUCUUUUCUGAUGAUGGGUUAGUGGUUUGAUGGUGAUGACGCUUCUGAAGCAUGUGCAGGCGGUGUAUGCUUUGGGUCCGAUGCACAUGGUGUUUGCUCUCAUGCGAGCGGAUCGGUUAUGACCUCGGCUCUAGAUGAUGGGACGUGAGGGCAUUCCUCAAUAUCAAGUUUGUAGGUGUCGAUGAUACAAGAUAAUUAAUGCUAGGCUACAAGUUACUCCAUCUAUUAGUUUACUCCACAUAUUAGAUUUGACCAAAGUCAAACUUAUGAAGUUUGAUAAGUUUAUACAAAACAAUAUGAAUAUAUUUUAGAGAAAAAGCUUAAAAUAUCAAUUUUGAAUUAACAAAUCCAUCAAUCGACUUGGAGGACAAAUCACAGAGGAUUACAAAGAGGAAACAAAUAAAAACAGGAGAAAUAAAAGAAAAACAGUGGGUACAAAGCGUUGGACAUAACACCUCAAAGGCAACAUCCGUUGCAAGGACAAAAAAGCAGCGUUGAUGCCAUCGCCAUACAUUAGGUCUAACAACAGAGGGAAGCAAAGGUCUUGAAUUAAGACACCAUCGAGGACGCAUCGUGCCAUUGUCCGAAACCGAGAGACCGCCAUGGGCUAUAAACCAAGUGUCUUCGUCACCACAAAGGACCACUACCCUUUCGUCCUGGCUCAUAGUACACCGCACCAUCCACAAGCGAAGUGAAUCACCCAUAUCCCACUUGGCCAAGACACCGUAGUUGUCAAGGAGAGGAGGAAGAACACACAAGAAAACUCAGGCCAAACUCCGUCGAGAAGCCGCGAGAGCAGCCACAAGUGAACAAGGUCGGUAUAAUAGGAUCACCAACCCCGCAACAGAGAGAUUUGUCGGAGCACAAGGCGCCCUCCAAACACGUUAUUGUUGUCGCCACAGAGGGAAAUCGAUCCCCUCACGCUCGAACUCGAGGACGAUGUCUUAUCAAACACCGACAGGGACUCUCCACUCGCGAGGCGUGAUGUCGGAGAGACAAGAGGAGAGCCAGCCAACGUCCACCGACGCCACCCGUCGAGGGGUCCUUGCUCGGCUCAUCAUCCAGGGCCACCGCCUCGACGCCCUAAACCAUCCACGAGAUGCGAAGCAGCCAGACCCCCGCCGCCACCAUCAUAGGUGGCGCGCGCGCAAGUCGGGAGCGCACCUCAGGCGGUGGUGGAGUGGCAGGACGAGGAAGAAAGGGGGGGGGGUGGCGGUGCUCGGGUUGGGAACCCUUGAGUCGCGUCGCAGAGACAAUGCGAGGGUCGGGAGCUUAGAAUUGAUCCUAGUCGAUGGCGAGUUGCUUGAUAUAUGUUAUGUUUUCAUUAGAACAUUUACAAAUCUAUAUGAUAUGAAGAUAUUUAAUGAUGAAUGCAUUGAUACUGAUUAGGUGGUGUAUAUGUUAAUACAUUUUUCUGCAAACUUGCCGAAAGUAUAUAAAAUUUGACUUUAGACAAACAUAAUAUAUGGUUAAUAUAAUAUAAUAUGCAGAAUAAGUAAAAACAAAGGGAGUACGUGACUUGGCUAGGCUGAUUACAAUACAAUGUGCAUACUAUAUAUUGUAGCAGGAACUAAUCCUGAAAUAAUAUAUAAGGACAUAUAUGUCAUGCUUUUUUUAAACAAUACAUAUGUCAUGCUUUUUUUUAAACAAUACAUAUGUCAUGCUUGUUGUCAAGUACACGUAUAUGGGUGCCACUGUGCCAAGAUGACACAUAUGUCGAACUAUAGCUAUAGCCAGUUAACCACCAGAUACCCAUGGUCAAAGGUCACAUAUAUAAUACUACUGUCUGAAGUUAUGAACCAUCGAAACCACAAAGACCUAAUAGUAAUUAAGUAUAGGAUUCGCUAACAACGUAUCAUUAGUUAAUUACCACUUGGUUCAGUAACCCCUACUAAACCCCUCGCUAUCGAACUUGGCCAGAUGCAUGCUCUCCGCCAAGCUCUUGCUAGCUAGCAAGCCCAGCCAGAGCCAGCCAUGGAUGCUCACUACCCCAAGUACCUUCUCUACGGCAUCCUCAUCCUCGGCUCAUGGCUCAUCUCCUGCCUCCUGCACUUCCAGUUCUUCCACCUCUCCCUCUUCUCCUAUGGUCCCCGCUCCGGCGCGUCGCUCGUCCUCAUCCCGCUGUCGGUCCCCAUGGCGCUCGAUGCCAACUUCCUGCCAGCUCCCUCAGCCGUCGCCGAGGAUGGCCCUCUGCGCCGGCUUUCACCAGCAGCGUCGUCUUGCCAGGGGAGGUACGUUUACAUUCUGGAUGUGCCGUCGCGGUUCAAUGUUCUCAGGGACUGCGUCGAGGGCUCGCCGGUGUUUCAGGACGAGUGGCAUGUAUGCUCCCUCAUGGCCAAUGUCGGCAUGGGCCCCGUGCUCCCUCCGGCCACCGGCAACGGCAGCGACGGUGACACGGGUGUCAUCCCCAACACCGGAUGGUAAGCUCGUCGACUUGCCAUUCAUUAAUGGAGUAUAUAUGCCGGCCGGCGUGGGUUUUGCCGCCGUUCAUACGUGAGUUAGCUGCGAAUAAGAAUGUUACCUGCAGGUAUGCCACGGACCAGUACGCCCUGGAAGUGAUCGUGCACAACCGUAUGCGCCAGUACGAGUGCCUCACCGACGACCCGGCGGCGGCGACGGCUCUGUUCGUGCCCUACUACCCGGGGCUGGAGCUCCAACAGCACCUCUGCGGGUUCAACGCCACGGUGCGCAACGGGCCGUCGACCGAGUUCCUGAAGUGGCUGUCGGCNNNNNNNNNNNNNNNNNNNNNNNNNNNNNNNNNNNNNNNNNNNNNNNNNNNNNNNNNNNNNNNNNNNNNNNNNNNNNNNNNNNNNNNNNNNNNNNNNNNNGUACAUUCCCGGUAACUCCGAAAACCUUCCGGUAAUCAAAUGAGGUCAUCCUAUAUAUCAAUCUUCGUUUUCGGACCAUUCCGGAAACCCUCGUGACGUCUGUGAUCUCAUCCGGGACUCCGAACAACAUUCAGUAACCAACCAUAUAACUAAAAUACGCAUAAAACAACGUCGAACCUUAAGUGUGCAGACCGUGCGGGUUCGAGAACUAUGUAGACAUGACCCGAGAGACUCCUCGGUCAAUAUCCAAUAGCGGGACCUGGAUGCCCAUAUUGGAUCCUACAUAUUCUACGAAGAUCUUAUCGUNNNNNNNNNNNNNNNNNNNNNNNNNNNGCAUACCUAUUUCAAUCUCGUUUACCGGCAAGUCUCUUUACUCGUUCCGUAAUACAAGAUCCCACAACUUACACUAAGUUACAUUGCUUGCAAGGCUUGUGUGUGAUGUUGUAUUACCGAGUGGGCCCCGAGAUACCUCUCCGUCACACGGAGUGACAAAUCCGAGUCUUGAUCCAUACUAACUCAACGAACACCUUCGGAGAUACGUGUAGAGCAUCUUUAUAGUCACCCAGUUACGUUGCGACGUUUGAUACACACAAAGUAUUCCUCCGGUGUUAGUGAGUUAUAUGAUCUCAUGGUCAUAGGAACAAAUACUUGACACGCAGAAAAACAGUAGCAACAAAAUGACACGAUCAACAUGCUACGUCUAUUAGUUUGGGUCUAGUCCAUCACGUGAUUCUCCUAAUGACGUGAUCCAGUNNNNNNNNNNNNNNNNNNNNNNNNNNNNNNNNNNNNNNNNNNNNNNNNNNNNNNNNNNNNNNNNNNNNNNNNNNNNNNNNNNNNNNNNNNNNNNNNNNNNCGUCCAAGUUGUCGGCGCCUCCUCGCCGCUGCGCGCCGCCACGGGAGCGCCUGUACAUUCCAGUCCACCAAGCUCGGUGGCACUGGCAGUACAGGCAAGCUCUGCCCUACCCAGAUGUCAACCUCCCCCAUGGUUGGCAUUUGGAACCCGACCGUGUCCCUAUCCCAGCAGUGUCGCGGUCUGCGCGCGCACACGUGGAGGAGGUCCGCCGGCGGCGUGCGCUCCUCACUCCGGAGCAGCAGCGUGAUCCGACGUACACGGCCGACUCCCCUGAAUGGGAGAUUUGGUUCGCCGUCGAGCACGGGCGGGAGCGCAUCCACGGCGCCUAGUUCGAUACGGCCAUCCCUCCACCGCCCCCUCAAGUGAAGUCAGAGGAGCAGGAGGAGGAGGCCGCCUACCAGGCCGCCCUCGAGGAGACAACGGCCUACGCCAUCGAGGAGAGCAGACGCGAGGAGGAUGCGCGCUGGAUAGGUCUCGAAAAGGCCCUCGCGCUGUCUGCGGCAGGCGACUGCGUCGUGCCCCCUCCUCCAUCUCCGCCGGUCGCUGAGGCCGAGGCGCGCCAGCCACACACCUACCAGUGGACCGGCCAAUUCCUGGAGUGGGUGUCCGCGCCUCCCGUCUGGUAUGGGUGCACGGAGGAGGAGGAGAAAGAGUACCUCAUGCACCAUAAGUCGCUGGCACUGGCGAGGGAGGAGGCCGAGGCGGCGGAGCAGAUGAAGCUCGAGCACAGGUGCGAGGAGGAGGAUGAGGCGGAGCGUCGGGAGCGGGAGGAGGAGGAUGAGGCGGAGCGUCGGGAGCGGGAGGAGGAGNNNNNNNNNNNNNNNNNNNNNNNNNNNNNNNNNNNNNNNNNNNNNNNNNNNNNNNNNNNNNNNNNNNNNNNNNNNNNNNNNNNNNNNNNNNNNNNNNNNNGGGAGGAAGGAGAAUAGAAGGGCGCCCGCAUGACCUGGUCGCUGCUCCUGGCCGACGUAGUCACAAGGCCGCCGGACCACGCAGCCGCCGAUUGGAUCUGGCUCCUCGCCUCAGAAAACAUAUAGGGUCUUAAUCAUAAAGUGAAACGUUUUCCUCACUAACGAAAGGACUGCAGGUUUAUUAACAGAAAACGGAAGGAUCUUUUUGCAAAAAUGCCAUGACGGACGACCAAAAACCGUAUUUGCUUUAUUAUUAGGGAGAGAUUAGGUAUGGUACACGUAAAAUAUGAACCCUACUUAAAAUAUAAAUAUGCAUGGAUAGUCAAAUAUCCUUUUGACAUACCCAUCACAUCUUCUUGUUGAUCAUCCACCAAAGUCCACAUCUUCGAAUUAACCUCAAGAUUUACAACAUCGUGGACCAAGUAAAGCGCUUCAUCACGACAUGUCAAACACAGAGACAUAAGACCUUCAACACACUAUCGGCAACAACUUGCGGAGUCAAAGCAUCCAUACACGUACGUGUCUACCAUCCGGGCGGACGGCCCGGUCAUGAAAUUUUGACUAAGACAACAUGUCCCGACGUGUCCGCCACGUAGGACUAACACUAGGGCCCCGCACGAAAACACCGACGGCCCGAAGUUUGUCUCCGUCGUUAGACCGAUGUCGUCGCGUGGCACCGCUCCGGAGGGCGUGUAGUCCCUAGCCUGGCUAUUUAAGCCGACCGCCGACACUGAAACCCUACCACCCCUCCCUCACAUUUUCCUCCUCCCGUUCUGUCGUAGCCGCCAAUUUCCACUCCGCGUCCACCCUUGUCGUCCCUAGCUCGGCUAUUUAAGCCAUGCAAGCGCGUGGAGCACGAAUCGAUGGGGGGGCUACUUCCGAAUCGAGUGGAUCCGAAGGAGUUGGGGAAGGAGGAGGAGCUGGCGAAGGAUGUGCCAUCCUCGAUUCGAUUCGCUCGGAGUCGGAUGUGCAGACCAGACGGCGUCGUCGGCAGGGGAUGGAGGUGAAACAGACCGCGAAGGAGGCCGAGAUGCUCGCCUACCUGGAUGAGGUGGAGGAAGAGGAGGAACCGAAGCCCUCCUACGCACCCCUCUACCCGGCACCGACGUCGUGGACAUCUCCGACGACGAUAACUAGGACAAUGCAUAUGAUUUUACUAGUACAAAUGCCCGUGCGUUGUACCGGGCUAGAAAAAAUGCAGAACCUAUUUAUUUUGCCAUUAAAUAUUAAAUGUAAAUUAUUAUGUUAAAUGUAAGACAACUAUUUUUGGACGGAAGGAGUUUCUUUUAAAGUUUUAAAAUAUAAUGUAAUGCUUACAUAAAAAUUGGAUUACUUUUUUAAUAAUUAUUAUCAUUUUUAUUGAGUGGUAAUAAUGUUUUGUUUUUUGAUGGCUAAUAGCAUUUUUGUGUACAACAUAUUUUCAAAAAAUAAAUUAAACAAUAUAUAUUUUAAAUUGUUUUUUGCAUAACUUGCUAAGCUCUUGCGAGUGAGCUGCUUUGAGCGUAGACACCAAGCCUCCGCACGAGACACAAAGCGCGUCCUUGGGAGCACUUUCCUCAUCUUCUUUUAAAAAAACAUUCUCCUCAUCUUCUUCCCGAAGAAAAAAAGUUGUCCUUAUCUCUUCACUUUGUUCCCGUCACUCCCCCCGAUUCCAAUGGUGGCCACCCCCUCCCUUCCAUUCCUUGUGGAGUNGCACGAGACACAAAGCGCGUCCUUGGGAGCACUUUCCUCAUCUUCUUUUAAAAAAACAUUCUCCUCAUCUUCUUCCCGAAGAAAAAAAGUUGUCCUUAUCUCUUCACUUUGUUCCCGUCACUCCCCCCGAUUCCAAUGGUGGCCACCCCCUCCCUUCCAUUCCUUGUGGAGUUGAGCUCUCGAUAUACCUCCAAUGUAGGUCGCCCCUUGCCGUUCAUCCCCUCCGCUGGCGCGAGGCCACAUGACUUAUGAAUUUGGCAUGCUUUCUUUCGAAUGUCGGGUUCUCACAACGAUAUCAACAUGCUUCAACAAUCUCGAGUGUUGAAAAGCACAUAUUCACGGUUCAUUAUCUACGACACAUUAUUUACGAUUCUGAUAGACCGCAGUUAGGAGCUGGAACAUCAAGCUUAAAGAUCAGGAGAAAACAGAGCAACAGAAGCUUAUUCAUACGACCUUCCUUAGCUAAAACAUAGACAACUUUGUUCGUCGAAGGACGCACCCAACAAACCUUGGACUCCGCGAAGUCCUCAAGUUAUUUGUCAUUACAUGCCACUUCUUAUAUUCACUUCCAAUGAACGUCGGUUUAAAAUAAAUGCUUUACUAAAAGAUUAAAAAGACAGUGAGUAUUUUUUUUUGAAAAUUUUUAAAUUCAUUUUUUUAAAUGAAACAACUUUUAAGAAUUUUGACCGGUUUUUAAAAGGCAUGAAUAUAUAUAAAUGUGUACUUAUUAUAAAACUAAUUUUACUACAUUUAGUUUUUUAGAUAUAUAAGUUUGUUGUUUGGUUGGAAAUCAUUAUUCUUGUAUUUUUCAUUAUUUGGGCUUGACCCAAAUAAACCACUUGACAUAAACACUUUACGUACACAGAGAGCACUUCGGUAUUACAAAGAAGGAGUGUCUAUAUUACAAUCGACUGAAAUUGAAUUGGCCUUCAAUAAAAUAUGCCAACCAGUGCAUUUAACCACAUUUUGGUAUUAAAAAAAGGGAGUGUCUAUAUUACAAUCAACUGAAAUUGAAAUGGCCUUCAAUCAAAUAUGCCAACCAGUGCAUUCAACCAAUGCAAUCAUAUGAGCGCUUCCGCAUUUAAAUAUGCCGACUACUCUGUUGCAAUAACAAAUAGUUAUAAUCGAUGGUCAUUGGAUAUUAUUUUUUAUAUAAUCAAUGCUAGCAUGCUGCACGCCUUGUGCCAGUCUGCCAUGUUUGCUUAUUUUGCUGCCUGUAGUUUUUGUUGACUAAUAACAGUGCACGUGCAACACACGUAUAAUCAAAUAAUAUGGGAUGAAAACAAUGGACUAUAAAGCUAGCCAAGAUUUUACUUGUAAGCCUAACGUUGUAAUUCGCGUUACACACAUAUGUAUUGUAUCGUCAGUUUCUGUCCCAUCUUAUGUCAAAACUUCAGUUGAGUCAGCUUGGCUAGCAUGUUGUAUAUCGUUCUCCUUUCCGGUCAAAUGAGUUGUUGUUUAGUUGUUGUCUCCCUCGGUUGCUGUUUUGUUGUCUCGGCAAGAUAGGCUAACCCAGAGUUUACCUGUAAUCGAGCCUCAUGUAUGUUGUAAUGCAUGUGGAAAUGGAACCGACGACAUACAUGUGUUGUCCAGUUGCAGCUUGCGAGAAAGGAAACGUGCAGGUUAACUGGCACAAAUUAAGUGCGGCAUAACAUCUGCGCCCAGCGUCCACGUAAAAGUCAGAGCAGUCUUAUAUUCUUUCUUUUUUUGCAUGGAGAGCGGUCUUAUAAUCGCAGCUUGUACGUGCAAUAGAUAGCGGCGUUUAUGUACGUUCUGCGCCGUAUGACUCGGCCCUGCAAUGUAAUGAAGGUUGCGCGCAACAGCCUUUUUAUAUGUUGUGCUCCAGCUGACCGGCUUAGUACGGGCGAGCACAACCACGCAUACACAAACACAACGAACGCUAGCAUGCACCGCUGUUGCUGAACCCUCGCAGAAAGAUAGUAUUACUUUCAUCCCUAUCUAACAAACCUAAGACGAGAAUUUUGGGUCGAAGGAAGUAUGUUCAUACGACACAAACUGGCUUACCGAUAUAAAAAGUUUAUGCUUCGUAAGGAUAUAUCUGAUGCCCAUUCGUUGCAUAUUGAUACGAAUUGGCAAUCCAGUCGUCAAACAAAAGUAGUUUCCGCAUGAUGAGGACAUGCUUUAUAAGAAUCUACUAUUCGAUUCCUCAAUCCGCCAUUGGUAAGUCCCAGGACAUGCAUGGUUAGAACUAAUAAAAGCCGUAAUAGUGGCACCUCAUUUCAGAAUAAAAUUAAAUUAAAAUGUGUGAAAAGGCAUGUCUGAAUAACAGAAUACAUAAGCAUGUUGAAUUAUUUCUGCAACAUGGAGAAAAGCAUCACUUGCUGUUCUGCAGCGUUUGCUGGAAGAGAGUACACGACACGAGCAUAAAUUCCAACCAGGAGGCAGCAGUAGCGCUGACACGAAAGCAACUGAGGAAACUGUAAGUGCAUCUAGUGCCCCUUAGUGAUUUUGGUGGUUUGAAGACUUAUAGGUUAAGUAUCUAAUGUGUUCUUGAGUGUACACAGGAUCUAUAAGUCACUGAGGAGUUUGAAAUAUUCGAUGAAUAUCGACCCCUAAAAAUGUAUAUCUUCGGUUGAAGAAAUUGGUCUGAAGCUGAAGAUUUGAAUCGCGAAGAAUUUGCGAUGAAAUUGAUAUUCCUCAUGAAGAUAUUGAAAUUGAGGAAUUCGGUGUGUCCUGAAAAAAUCAUUCUGAAGACUUUGAAGCAUGAAGAUUUACUCUUUCUCUUUUGUUUUCUUCACACUAUGAGUAAUAGGAACACAGUACUGUUAAAGGGGGUCGAGGUAACACAUUGGAAUGGAUUUCCUCAUGAUGCUCAACCCAAGCCUAAUCCUACCAAAAGCCUCAAGUGAGGAAUAUGAGUGACAUGAGGACUCUCACAGUUGAGGGUCCCGACCGUUCCGAUAGCCACGCCACAUCAUUGGUCUUAUCCACACCAACAGUCAUAUUAGUUAAGGGCAUCAAUGUCAAAUCAUGCCGGGAUGAUCCCAGGCUAUAAAUAGCUGCCCCCACAACCAUUAGCUGGUUGGCUGCUCUGUUAGAAACUGACACUUGUCAUAAGAGCAACCCAAACUCCUCAAAGCCUUCGAGAAUAAUUCAUCAGUGAGGAAAUACCCCAAACACCAAACCACAAACCGAGAACCUAGUGAUUGAGCAUCACUGAAGAAGUUGUUCCUGUGUGGGACUGAAGCCUUUUACCUUUGAGGACCGUGCAUCCUCCAGACGGUUAGGCGUCAUGGUCUAGAGCAAUCCAGCAGUCAAUUGUGGAUCGCCGGGUGACCGAGUUUGUGAGGGUUUGGAAGUCUGCCCUGAAGACUUACCACGAGUGUUGGGCGAGGACUGUGUGUUCUUAGUUCAAGGAGAAUACGGUAGGGACUGUGUGUCCCGGGACUGUGUGUCUUUUGGUUUCAAUACCAAGCCGCUCCAAACCAGAUGUACAACUGUCCCAGCAGUUGGAACUGGGCCAUCAACUACUGUCUUCGCUCUGAAACGGGUUCUAAUUCCUCAACUCUUUAUAUUCCUGAGAUUAUGUGUUGAUGAUUUUCAUUGUCACUGUUUGAAGAACUUGCUGAAGACUUUCUCUGAAAUUCCUCAACCCCAAAUUCUUCACGCAAGUUAAUCCUCAUCUGUUUUCUGCGUGCGUGCUUAUUGUGCAAUAUGUUUUCGCAUUCUUCAUACUGAAAAACGGUUGUAGUGAAACUUUACACUCCUGAUCCUUUACUGUUUCCGCUGUAAGUUAGUCAUCAGUGAGGAAUUUCCUCAAAAGGAAUUUCCUCAGUGAUGAAAUUCUAAAAAUCUCCUAUUCACCCCCCCUCUAGUCGAUAUAACGCACUUUCAAUUGGUAUCAGAGCAAGGUACUCCCUUGUUCUGUGUGAUUUUGGUUUAACCACCUGGAGUUUUAGUUAUGUGGACUGCAGGCAUGAUCAAGGUUACUGCAGCAUGUCCUACUUUCGAAUUAAAGAACUUUCCCUUCUAGAAGACCAAGAUGCAGAUGCAUCUACAAGCUAUUGACGAUGAUCUCUGGUAUAUUGUGGAACAUGGCGUCCCCAUCAUCUCUGUUAGUGUCUCUGCUGCUGAUGUGAAUAAAUUCAAGCAACUUGAUUCUCAAGCGAAGAAUAUCAUCUAUGGCCAUCUGAGCCCAGGCCAGUUUGGAAGAGUGAGUGCUUUGGGCUCAGCGACACUUAUCUGGGAAAGACUGUCCAAAGUAAAUGAAGGAGUAUCAACCCAGCGUGAUUCUCGUGUUGAUGUUCUUCGCAAUCUCUUCAAUCGCUUCAAGAGGUUCGACAAUGAAAGCUGCCAAGAUACCUUUGAUCGCCUCACUGACAUAUCAAAUGAACUGCAAGCACUGGGAGCUCGAGACAUUACUGAUCACGAAGUUGUGAAGAAACUGCUAAGAUCUUUGGAUUCUUCAUUCGAUACUUUAGUUCUGAUGAUUCAAGAAAGACCAGACUACAAGAUGCUUGAUCCAGCUGAUAUACUCGAAAGACUCAAUACUCAAGAAUUCCAGCAAGAAGAAAAGAAAGAUCUAUAUGGACCAAGCUAUUCUAGACCACGUGCACUGAAGGCUAGAGCAAUUUCCUCAUCUGAAGAAGAAGACUCGGAUGAUAUCAUUGGUGAUCCUGAAGAAUUUGGACAGGAGCUUGCAAUGCUCGUGAGGAAAUUCCAGAGGUUUACACGACGUGGCUAGUUCGGUAAAUCUUCAAGAAGAGAUAUGAGGAAAUCAGAAUCUUCAUCUGAGGACUACAAGAAAAGAACCUGCCACAAAUGCAAGAAAUCAGGUCACUACAUUGCUGAUUGUCCCCGUUGGGGAAAGGAAUCAAAGAAGAAGAAAUACAAGGAUGACAGUUCUGAUUAUUCGAAGAAGAAGAAGAAAUCUUCAAAAUCCUCAUCUUCAAAGCCCUCAUCGCACAAGAAGACUAGUUUCAGAAAGGCUCGGGCACUUAUUGGCAAGGAAAUGGAUUCCGAGGCAGAAUCAGAGGAAUGUGAUGAAGAGGAGGGUUCUGAUGAAGACUCAGAAUCCGGACAGGCCAGUCUUGCACUUGCAACCACUUUCGUCAGCAAGUCAAUCUUCAACCUUGAAGAAGAUGAUAACACCAUCCACACUGAUGACUAUGCUGAUGGCUUCGCUCCAACCUAUUGCUUCAUGGCAAAAGGUUCGAAGGUACUGUAUGAUGCUUCCUCCUCUGAUUCAAGUGACCGUGAACCUGAUGAUUAUAAAAAACCCAGUUACAGUAAACUUGCUAUCAUUGCCACUAAACAAGAAACUGCCCUGGAAAAGCUUCACAAACUGCUAGAUAGAAGUGAUGAUCUAUUGAAUGAUGAAAUGAAUCUUACCCAAAUCCCCACUGAAGAUGUGAAAAGUCUUCAGUCUAGAUUUGAUAAUCUUCAAUAUCGUUAUGAUACACUCCUCGCUGAUCAUGAGAAACUUUCCUAUGAAUUUCUUCAAAGGAAGCUUGAUCUAGAGAAGCCAAGGAUUUCUCAUGAUGAUCUUCGUAUGGAAAAUGAUUCAUUACUAGCUCAACAGAUCAGCGAUGCUCAAGCUGAAUUCAUUCCUCCAUGUCUUAAAUGCAUUGAACGCAAAACUGCUAAUUCUUCACCAGAAUCAUCAAAUGCUGCAAUUGCUACAAAUUCUUCAACUGCUCGUGUAGUGUCAAAUUCCUCACUUGAGGAAAACACAAAUGUCACUGAUGAAAAUGCAGGGCUGAAGGAAUUGUAUGUGACAGGCAUAUACAAAAGCCUCAAAGGACAUCAAACCCUUUGUGAUGUGUCAAAAAGCAGAUCUUGAACAGGAACCCGAGGAAAGAAGGAAUUGCCUUUGAGAGGAAAUUGAAUGAUGAUGGAUCUUAUUGGAAACCUGAGAAGUAUCCCAAAACCUCAUGGGUUGCUGCUACUGGGCCUCCUUUUGAUCCAUCCAAUCUAAUUGGCUUUUUAUGUGAAUUAUCCUAUUCCUCAGGUGAGUCAUUUGACUCCAACUAUAAACUGUUCAAAAAUCAAUCUGGUGAAGUAUUUGCUCGAUAUGUUGGAACUAACUGCUGGAAUGGCCCUCCCUUGAGGAAAAUCUGGGUUCCCAAAAGUUGUCUUGAAAAUCUUCAGGUGAAUGUCCUCAUCACACCACCGAUGAAGAAUCUGAACCUCGGAUCAAAUUUAUCAGGAGGACCAAAGUCUUCAAGAGGAUAAAUAUCCUCAACUGAUCAAAACUAUGCUCGUACCCGUGCUAAUACUUCUAACAUGCAGGGAAACUACAAGGAAUAUGAAUAUGAGCGUUAUUCUUCAAAUCAUUAUGUUCAUAAAUCCUCAAACCAGUUCUCUGGACAUUCAUAUGAGUACUUUAACCCCCUACUGCUAAGAGAAGUGCAUUAGCUUCAAUGCAACCUUUAUCAUAUGGUGCUCGCAGGAUGAUGAAUGCUUUACCACCCCUUCAGAUGUGGGUGGUGAAGAAAUUGAACUAAUCACUUCUCCAGGUAAGGUCUCCAGAUGAAAAUCAUCAUUUGAAGAAGUUGUUGGAGACCUGAGGAAAUACUUGAUAGGACGCAAGCUAAUAUUGAUGAAAUAGUGAAAGUGUGUUAUAUCGACUAGAGGGGGGUGAAUAGGAGAUUUUUAGAAUUUCAUCACUGAGGAAAUUCCUUUUGAGGAAAUUCCUCACUGAUNNNNNNNNNNNNNNNNNNNNNNNNNNNNNNNNNNNNNNNNNNNNNNNNNNNNNNNNNNNNNNNNNNNNNNNNNNNNNNNNNNNNNNNNNNNNNNNNNNNNUUUCAAUCUCGUUUACCGGCAAGUCUCUUUACUCGUUCCGUAAUACAAGAUCCCGCAACUUACACUAAGUCACUUUGCUUGCAAGGCUUGUGUGUGAUGUUGUAUUACCGAGUGAGCCCCGAGAUACCUCUCCGUCACACGGAGUGACAAAUCCCAGUCUUGAUCCAUACUAACUCAACGAACACCUUCGGAGAUACCUGUAGAGCAUCUUUAUAGUCACCCAGUUACGUUGCGACGUUUGAUACACACAAAGUAUUCCUCCGGUGUCAGUGAGUUAUAUGAUCUCAUGGUCAUAGGAACAAAUACUUGACACGCAGAAAACAGUAGCAACAAAAUGACACGAUCAACAUGCUACGUCUAUUAGUUUGGGUCUAGUCCAUCAUGUGAUUCUCCUAAUGACGUGAUCCAGUUAUCAAGCAACAACACCUUGUUUAUAAUCGGAAGACACUGACUAUCUUUGAUCAACUGGCUAGCCAACUAGAGGCUUGCUAGGGACAGUGUUUUGUCUAUNNNNNNNNNNNNNNNNNNNNNNNNNNNNNNNNNNNNNNNNNNNNNNNNNNNNNNNNNNNNNNNNNNNNNNNNNNNNNNNNNNNNNNNNNNNNNNNNNNNNCCCGCCGCUCUCCGUCGCCGGCCUGCUUCGCAACUAAGUUCUGCAAUCCGACCUUUGUUACAAAAAGUUUUCUGUAACACGGCAUUUAUUGCAAAAAUUUCUUUCGCAAACAGUGCCUAUUUUGCAGAAAGUCAUUGUUUGUGGAACUCGGUCGUUGUUUCAGGAUUUUAAUGAAACUCCAUCGCUGUUUCUGAAACUUGACCGUUAUUUCAGGAUUUUUGGGUGCAGGGAGGCGACGGAUCGGACGGCGUUGAGGUGGUGGAUGUUAACUAAACAUCCGCCGAUGAACAUGUAGCAACCCCUAAUAAUAUUUAUUUCUUUUAUUAAUAGUAGAUAUAACUAAACAUCUGAUUGCGCACGCACUCAAACAGACAAUGCGGUCAUCCCUACGACGAAAGGCAAGCGAUGGCAUCCGCAAAGCACUCGCUGAAACACUCCAUGCUGCAUGCCGGUAAAGAGAUCCCCACCUCCACCCCGCUGCUGCCGCCGCCGCGCGCCUCCGCCACAGAUAUCNNNNNNNNNNNNNNNNNNNNNNNNNNNNNNNNNNNNNNNNNNNNNNNNNNNNNNNNNNNNNNNNNNNNNNNNNNNNNNNNNNNNNNNNNNNNNNNNNNNNAUUGUGGCACAAGCAUGGCAACAAGCAAAGAAGGGGAAAAAUAAUAUAGCAUGAAGGAAAAAUAAAAAGGGGGCACCCUGGGAUUCGAACCCCUGUGCCCCUGGUUCCAACAUGCACAACACACAAAGCCUCACCGCUCUGCUGCAAGUCACUGGUUCGACUACAAAGAGGGUGCAUACAAGGUAUGGUCUACCCCUGCGGCUAUUGUGCUGAGACACCAUGCAAAAGAAACAAAAGGGGCGCCGAGGGAAUCGAACCCAAUAUCCCUAUGGUGGAGGCGCGACGCUCGCACCACUCGGCUAGAAAGGGGGCUACUGCUCUAAGGGGGGUUCUGCGCUAGGUAAGAAGCAGAAACAAAAGGGCACCUUCUCUGCAAACAGAGAGGCGUCGGUGCACUCGCCGGUGCAGAACUGCGCGCACUGCGGGGAAAGAAGCCAGCGCUGCGCUCGGCUACUGCUGCUGGUAUCUGCCUGCACCAUCGAAGGACCCAACUACUGCUGCUGCUCGGCGGCUANNNNNNNNNNNNNNNNNNNNNNNNNNNNNNNNNNNNNNNNNNNNNNNNNNNNNNNNNNNNNNNNNNNNNNNNNNNNNNNNNNNNNNNNNNNNNNNNNNNNCCUCCUGCUCCCGUGUCCGAUUUGGACACCGCUUCUAACCGUGUCCACCUACAACUGCUGAUUCACCGCCUCCUGCUAUAAGAAGCAACGUAGGCUGCGCGUGCCCUCCUGCUAUAAGAAGCAACGAUUCUUAGCUGAAAACAAUAUUCAGGUUGUCGUACUUGCAGAGAAUCAACGAUCCUGAGAUAAAAUCUCCAUCAGUUUGCGUACUUGGACCAGAAAACUCAUCAACUCCUGGAGUUGGACCAGAUAAGCAUCAUGCGGCCUUCAAGUUCGAUGGAGGCAGAAGCGACAAGUUCGCCGGAGGUAAAAGAAUGUUCGCCGGAGGUACAAGAAUCUUCGCCGGAGGUAGAAAAAUAUCCGUCGAGCCAUCCAAUAUCGCCAACGAUGGGUACACCACAGGUACGUAAUGUCUGAGACACUAUUCAUAGAUGGUAACAUCAGGGUUUGGGAGACCAAGUAGCUUAUCUUUCUCUCGCUUUCCUUCUGUGUACAUAAUGGCUUCUGUUAUAUGUGCAUGGUGUGGAAUGCUUACUGUAAGUAUGUCCAAUCUUAUGUUCUGUUUCGGAAGUGAGUGCUUUGUGCAGUGUGUAAAAUAUUAGGUUGUAAAUCAUUAUUCAGAUGAAAAAAAUCAGUAUCAUCGGGAAUCUUAUGUUAAAGGCAGUAGUAUUCAUGUUGGGGACNNNNNNNNNNNNNNNNNNNNNNNNNNNNNNNNNNNNNNNNNNNNNNNNNNNNNNNNNNNNNNNNNNNNNNNNNNNNNNNNNNNNNNNNNNNNNNNNNNNNUCUCUCAUAGCAUGACAAGGUGGACCCACAUGAGCUAGGUUCCAAAUAUGGCAAGGUUUACAUCUGGGCACUACAGUAGGAGUCCUUGCCUUGAAUUGUGGUUUCGUUGAAUGGCCUUGGAUAAUUGUUCUUGCAUGAUGGGCGAUUUUUUGUGCAUGGACAAAGUUUAUUCAAUGCACCACAAGGACCAUGCAUCAUAUGUUUGAUCACCAUUUUGUAUAGCUCUGGGUACUUGUGCUUGUUAGGGAGCUCGGCGGAGAUGAUUCUGUCAUACUGCUCCGGACAUGUGUAUUUGUAUUUUCCAGUCAUGAUAAGCAAAAAGUGAGCAUGCGGUAAUCCCCUCUUUUGGAAUUCUACUACAUAUGUAUAUGCUUGAACUUUUCCAAGAAUUGACUUUUCAAAUAGUUGCUUCUUCAUUUCUUGUAAUUUUUCCCUAAAAACACGAACGACAAUGUCUGGACGAUCUUGUGGUGUUUGUCCAUUCUCUAGUUCACUUGUGAUCUCCUCCCAAUUGGGAUUGCAGGUCAUUGUUAGGAAUACGUCCGACUUUCCAUAUUUUCUAACCAAUGCUAUAGCAUCUAGAUACCGACGAAGUUUGUCUCGUGGCCCUCCAAUAAAUUAUGAGGCUAGAAUUCUCUGUUUUCCGACUGCAUCUGCAUUAUGUUGUCCAGCUUGAAUGCUGUCUAGAAGGCCUUGGUAUAGAUCCGCUCUUAUUUUCUUUUGAUUAUGCCAGAUGUAGUCAAGUCUGGAGCUUUCAAUCUUGAUAUAUGUGUCUACAACAAACUGCUGAAAAAGCCGUCUGCCAUGUAAAAUUGGGUUGAAUAUGCCUGGUCGUGUAUGAAAUUUAUAGCAGUAGUAUUCUCUCAUGGUUACCCAUAGGCCACUGAUUGAGUCUGUGCAAACAUUGCAAUAUAAAAAGUUAGUUGAGUAGGUAAUAUUGUAUGAAAAUUGAAUUUUGAAUAUAAUAGUAUAUGAAUUUCUUACCUAGAUCAUCGUCAUUACUGAUAUUAUCN